GGGUUAGUUCCUUCUGUAGCGGUAAGGGUAAGUAGCAAAAGAAUUUCUAUUGAGUUGGUGUAGGAACAUAUAUUGAGUUAGACUAGGGAUAUACGGGAGUAGGAACCAUAUCAGUAGUGUUGCUAAGUAAAGGUUAGUUUACCCACCUGGCCCGGAGACAAAGUCAGCAAGCUUUAGAGUUCUGUUAGGUUCGACACUUCUCUCAGUUGCGCACUUUCUUUCUAAUUCCAUGAUGAAACCUACCUAUGCUCUUUGGAGAACCUACCCAUCUAUAAUGUUGACUCAUAUAAGAUAAUGUUUGAACAAACAACAAGGGAAAUAUUAUGUCAAUGAAAUGAAGCGGGAGCCUGCCUCAAGCAAGCAGGAGUUCAAACUCAUAAUGGUGCAAGAGCAAGCACAAGGGCGCCUGUAGAUACAACGAUAACACGGGGCCCACCUUCGCCUUAGUGCAUUAGUUUCGGUGAUUUUGAAGAAGGUUGGUUUUUACAAAUUCUCAUAUUUGGUGGUGUGUGCGCAUCUCAAUUCUCUUCUUUUGACUUUUCUCAGAAGUACAGUAGUAACUUGCCUAUUACAGUGUAGUAAAAGGUCUUGUCAGUUGCUUGCCUCUAAUCAGUAUUAGUUUAUUUCCGACUUUUGAGUUUCGUUCCGAUGUUGGUAUUGGUUAAAAAGCAUUGGUACCCAGACAGUAAUUCCUUAUUAGAAGAUAUUGGUUUGCUUACCGUACCGAGUUAUGAGUAGAAGGCUACUAGUUUCAAUACUGACUUUCAGCAAGGAGUGGUUUCUAGCUUAGUUUAUGCUUUAUUCUAAUUGGAGUUCUUAUCACUACUACUACAAGCUUACUACUUGCUGCUACUACUAUAGAGGGUCAGAGAUAUCAGUAUUAGAGCUACUCAUCAGUAUUGCUACUCCGGAAAGACAGAAGGAAAUGGAAGACCAGCGGUAGUUUUCGUUUGGAAACAAGGAAUAGAAGAGUGGGCAAGUAACUGCUAGAUUAGCAAGUAAGGGGAGACUUAGAUGCCCGGGUUCCAGUCUAUGGUAGCCACGUUCAGAAGAAUCCAAAUCAUCAGUUACAGGGAAUCGAAGAGGCAAAUAGGAGACUAUAAGCAAGGCGGUGCAGGCUCGGAAGUAUUAGUGUCAGGCUAGGCUCCCUUUCUUUUGGUGGAAGCUAAGAGAAAGUAAUGUCCUACUUCGAGUUGGGCCAGUAGCUCCUAGCAAUCAAACAUAGGAAAUUCAAGUUCCAAAUGGAGAAUGUAAAUAAGCAGUGCCAGGCCAAAAGUGAGGAGCGGAAAGUGCCAGUUUCCUGUUCAAGUACGAGAAGCAGUAGUGUGAGGUCAAGAGUGAGGGUAGUUAGCCUCGGGAUCAGUAGCUCAAUUCCUAUAGUAGUUAGUUCACUUCCUAAUUAGAGUCAAGCAAGGGCUUUCUAAGGGAAAGGUCAAGUCUAAAGGUAGGUAAAGAUUACAGGGCGUCCAAAGAAUUUCCACUUGUGAACAGUUCGUAUCGCAUUAACCGAUAAGUAGGACAGCCAAGAGAGUUGGUGUUCUGCUACCCUCAUUCUUUAGAGCGACAGUAAAGUAAACAAAUCAUUCAUUCGAGCUUACUUGAUAACUGAUCUUUCUUCUUAUCCUUCUAAUGCUUCCGUAUCUGUGUAAGAUGAAACUCGUACUGCUUCUUUAAACAAUGAAACUUGAGCAGAAGAAUAAGUUUGCAGCUCGCGCGCUAAGUGAAUCAGGGGAAUAAUCUCUUCGCGCGCUAAGUUAAUCAGUGUCAACAAGGUAUCUAGAAGCUGAAUGCGCGGGUAAGAUAAAUAGAGGUGUAGCUCUGUUAGCGAAACUUGACUUUAUUUACAAAACGGAAGACGAGAUAGUAGGGGAGCGCAUGAACAACAAGGCAAUCAAUAAGUCUGGACCAGUCAACUCGUAAACUUGACAAAAAGGCACACCCAUACCCUAAACUUACUGAGAGAAUGUAAAGACUCACUGUAGUACCCCUAAACUAUCCAGUCAUCAUUUCAAUUAAUCUCUGCUGCUGACUGACUUUAGACUUAUGCAUUCGAUUCAAUAGGAGAUUCGGCUUCCUUUCCUUACUAUUAAUCUACUGCCGGAUCUUAUUAUGCUCAAGUUUGUUCUCUCGCUGACAAUACUCGAACAGGACAUUCUCCACUGUAAACUAGAACAGUCCAUUCUGCUGCUGGCAAGUGCUACUUACGGAUAAGAAAGUGAGUUACAGAGUUAUAUUAGUAAUAAGAUAAAUAAGAGACAGGCUGGACUCUAUACUAGAAGAUACCGAUACCGACCGCGCUGAAGAAGGCAAUAAUCCAGGCGGCUGUAAACCCGUAUUUUGAGUCUACAGAUCGAUCUCUGUGAAACUCUGAUGAUGGCUAAUGUACUACAGGCGGAAGGGAAGUUUCGUUUGAAAGUAUGGUUUAGGGUGUUUCAGAAGAAUCCACAGUUACUGGCGAGGAAGCUAUAAGUAAAGAAGUGUGUUCGUCCACUUGUUUUCGUUCCUUCCCCCCUUCACUAAAAAGUAAGUAUCAUUACCCUACCUACAAAGGGAGAUUGCAUGUUGAUAACUGAGGAUGGCAAUCUGUUGAUGAAAUGGACUGCUGUAGUUCAUGCUUCUACCCAUAGAUGCUUUGGUACUCAAUCUCAUAAAAGUCAAAGCCAAGCCAUAUAUAAUAGAUAUGAAUACUAGAUUGAUAGAGAUGAAUACAGGAGUGAGAUAGUUAGAUAUUCAUACAAUUCUCAGGAGUAAGAUAGUUAGAUAUUCAUACAAUUCUAUAGUGAAUUGUAAAACGAGUACAGUCAUCCAUAAGCAUUGCAUUGUAGUGAAAACGUUUCUUAGAAGCAAGCGGGGCAGGGCAGGAAUUUUCCAUAAGGGUAUCAUCGUAUAUCAUCUUUCUUGAAAUAAGGGUAUCAUCGUAUAUCAUCUUUCUUAUCAUUAAGAGAAAAAGGCGACAACAGAGGCACGGCACUUCUUACAACUAGCACAAAGAGAGAGGGCUUGAUGAACCAUAGAAGGAUAUCCUCAUCCAUAUAAAGAGAUCUGUUUGUUUGUUAUAUAGAGAUCACAUUAACAUUUCUGUACUUUAUAAGUCUUUGAUUGAGGGUGACCAAGGGAAACUCCUUCAGGUGCCUUGCCGAACUUAAACUAGCGCUUGUUCACCUUUGUCUCGGGCAUAGAAAGCGUCCAUCCUACUCUACUCCCGGUUGCCGGAAUCCAUCCUUGUCCUCUGCUCUGAUCCUUUGAUCAAUAAAUUCUACGAUGAGUGCAAAGAAAGAUGGUCGAUUUUCAGUAAGUUGAAAAGAGAUGGGUAGGUGGUUAGUUAACAGUAAGGUGGUUUGUUAGUGUUUCUAAACGGUUGUUAUUGCAGGAACAAAGAAAACAUCCUGUAAUUCCACAUUUACUGAACUUGUAGUCAAAGAAGCAUCACCCAUAUAAUAAAUACGUAAACCAGUGUACCAUAUAAUAAAUACGUAAACCAGAGUACCAUCACAACCUCAAUUCUCUUUUUCUUAUAGUAUAGGGUAGCUGAUUCAUAAUUCUGUAGGGAGCGCGGAUUCAUAAUGCAGAAAUUACCUGCUUUACGGAUUCCGAAUUCAGAGAUUACCCGCUUUAGUGGUCAUAUGAGCAGACGCACCAGUAUCGGUAUACUAGUAUAGUAGGGAUCCUGCGAAUCAGAGAGAGAGACAUAGCAUAGCAUAGCCGUCAAUGCUUGAUGGAUAUCUUGGCUUAGGACUGAGAAAAGGGUGGUUCCAAGAAGGCAAGGCAGCACAGUAUGCCCAAAAAGACCACAGAUCUGACAUAGAGUGUCAGCGCAGAACCCUUGGUCCUGAGAUUAGGCAUAUUACGCAAUACUUUUGCUGUGGUGAAGGCUAUAAAGGCUUUCUUUUCUCCCUUUAUUUCAACUGCGCCCUUAUUGAUGCAGGUUUAUAUCUUUUAUGGAAUGAAGGCCUAGAUCUCUCUGUAAAACAUGCAACGGCGCGACGAUCUGAAUUAAGCAAUGAUAUAGAAUCUUCAGAAUAAUCUUAUCUCUUCAGGAUAAUCUUCUAGGGUGGGGAAUCUGAGAACUUGCGAUGGGAUGAGCGCUCGAGCCUUCUAUAACUCAAGGAGGCAUUAGGCUCGAUGUUACGUUAGUUUCAUAGGCCCAAAGAAUCUCUGGACUGGCUCCAAGAUAAGGGGAAAGAAUACAUUUGAUAGUUUCAUAGAAGGUGUAUCUUUCUUAGCUUAGGGGAAAGCACUUCAAUCCUGAUGUCGCUCGUUAUGUGAAUGGACCCAAUCCAUGAUGAGUUAUAAUUAAACCAGAUGGCCUAUCUUUUCCAGAUGGCCUAUAUCUUUUUCAUGCUUACUGGAAGUAGGAAUAACUGACAAGCUACGUCGCCAUAACACUAGAAGAGAGCAGAGCACUAUUGAAGAAAAGAAAGGGACAAAGGUCGACAGAAGGUAAACCCAAGACUCAAUCACUACCAAUCAGUUCCCGAACACAGGACUUGUAACUUAUAUUGCAACACAUUUGUAUUAUAGGGUACGAUCUAGCACAGUAUAAGACUAGUCAUACUUAGAGUGGAAAGCGAGGGCGCGUCGAUAGUACUUCACUUUCAAGGGCUAGGCACUACGGAAGGCCAUUAUCAAGGUGAAGGUGAUGGGGGCAGGCCUCUUUCUAGUCUUUUCAUCCAUAUGAAGUUGCUAACGCCUUUGGUGUGUUAUCGAGUUCCGCUUCUUUUGCCCUAGCAAUCAAUAUAGUAGAGGAGCAGUUGGGACAAUAAUCCCUUUUUGCUCACUUUCACCCCUGUUCCACUCCUAUGAUAGCUAAUUGGUAGGGCACAGACAAUCUGACUCUUACAAGCUUUGAAACAUAAGUAUUCGAAAGUGAAUGACAGGCUUUGAAACAUAAGUAUUCGAAAGUGGCCAAGCAACUAGACAAGUUACUACUAAUGACCAAGUAGAAAGUGUAGUUGAAAGUAUAGUGGAGGGUGCCAGUACUGUUCGUGUUGUUGGCAAAGGAUCUUAACCAGUGUGGUAUGCCAUGCCAGCAGAGUGAAAAGAGCCAGAGUUACAAGAGCCUCAUUCUGUUAAUAGUAGCCAUCAAGAGUUCAAUCAAUAGUUAUACAAGCCAUUACUCUUUCUAUUACUCUUUCUAUUACUAAAUGGGGAGUAGCGGUAGGGGAACUAUACAAAUACAAUUUCUAUUCUAUCUUAUGGUAGCGGUACCUAUUCUAUAUUUAUAUGAAUUCUAAAAGGAAGGAAGAUAUUAUGUCCCUGCCCCGGAACUGUCUCUUUGAACUCUCCUAUUGCUCUUAUACCUAUGAAAACUCUCACUAUUGCUCUCUUCUCUUCUUGCCCCAAAUCAUUCAUUUUCUCUAUUCUAUCUCUUUCGCCCCUUACUUCUAUUAAGGCUGCUUGUAUUCUUCUUCCCUUAAUCCGUGUAGUGGGCUUCUUUCUUCUUUAUACGAUGACACUCAUUCACUUUGCGUUGCGCUUGCUGCUUCCUUUAGACUCUUCUCUUCCUUGAAACCUAACUGCUUAGCUGACUCCUGACUAAACUAGCAAGGACGCACUCAAACCUGCCAGCAAACUCAAGCUUCCAAUCGGAGCAACCCCUGCCCUGCGCCUCUAUUCUGACUUUCAGUAUGCAGUGUUGUUCUCCUAUAUGUGAUUGAUGUGUCAUGCAACAUUCUUUCUUUAUUGAUUUCUUUCCACAGGCUCCGUUCUCCUAUAGGAGAUAGCAAUUUCAUCCGUUCUUCCUAUAAAAGAUAGCAAUUAGAUCUAUGUCUCGAAUCAAAGCCAAUAAGAUCUGAUUAUCCUCCGCUAUUCGCAUAAGAUUGAAGAUAAGUGGGAAUGUUUUGAACUGAGAACUUGGGUAUAAGGGGAGUUGAAAGAGCAGACAGGACUAGUUUAUUGCAAGCUAACCUUAGCAACGGGGCCAAGUAACUGCGUUAGUUCAAUAAGUAUCCUUCCCUACCGGAGUUACAGAGCAAGCGGGUAUCUCGGCUCGGGCUAAACUCCAUUCUUUAGUGAAAUACUGGCUAUCUAUCCGGAGUUGUGGAAUCCCUUGUUUCAUCCUAUUAAUAAGCUCAUCUCUCUCUGAAAGCUCAUCUCUCUCUGAUGGAAUCAAAGGCGAAAGAACAAGCAGUGUAUUGGUCUAUUGAAUAUAAAUAGUCGGGUAAUUAGAGAGAGUCAGAAUCCAUGAAGUAUAGGUUUACUGGCUCUACUGCUCUCCCACCUGGAAUAAUUCUUUCGAAGGGGGAUGGGAGUCAAUACUUAGCGCUUAAGGGAAUCAAAUCAGAAAGUACUGGUGAGGCGCGUUGGUGCCGAGAAACAGGCUUCAACCUGAGCUACUAAGGCUACAACCAGUGCAUCUAAGACUAUAACGGUGUCUACUAAGGCUGAAACCACAGCUACCUAGCCUUCAACGAGGCAGUAUGGGAAUUGAGCUAGUCAGUAUGAGAAUCAAGCACCUAACAACUAGCCUGAAACCAGUGCUUCUAGGGUAGUAGAUCAGAAUUCACUCCUGUAGUUACAGAAUCAAACUAGCUACUAUGAUGCUCUAGUACUAUUAGUAAGCCUACCCUCCCUUUUAACCAUUCUAAUACCUGCUCUUUGAAUUCCAAUGUUCGCCUCAAAGUAUGCCUUGUUUAGGUCAGUCUUCUAUCUGCCGUCGCUGUCCAAGCUGCGUAUCCCUUACCUUAUUGCCUUACUUUCAAACUCAUGUCAUUACUAACAGGACUUUCACUACUGUCUCUAGCCUUGCUUUACAAGACCUAAAUCCUAUAUGUUUACCUACGACGAGACUCAACAUUCUGUUUCUAAGCCUUUAUAUUAUUCUUUAGUGAACCUACUAGCCUGCCCCCUUGUCUACUAAUACUUUUCAUACCGAUCAGGAUCUCCGCCUUGCUUCAUAUGAGCCUUGGUUUCAUGCUUUAACUACCCACUUGAGUAUUAUUACUUGUUAGCUUGAGCCUACCUCGCAUCUUUACUUGUUUAUUUCAUUAAAUAAUUAGAUAUUCAGUUCACAUAUAUAAUAUGGAUUAUUAUUCUCUUCUAUUUGAUUAGCGUCUAAAAAGUACAAUUCAUUUUCUCUUUUUACGGGUGCUCCUAUACAAAGGGUAUGCCAUGCGAUAAAAACUAUUAGAUCAAACUCCGCAGUCAAAUAAGAAAAGUACAAAUAAGGAAUAUCCAACAGCCAGUAGCAAUAAGGAAUCCAGCAGCCAAAGCCAAUUAUUUGUAUCAACCGUAGAGUCUUCUUUCUUCUCUAGAGAGCCUUCCUCCCGCUACCAACCAAGCCUUCUUGCGUGUAUCGACUACUAAGUAUUCCAUGCCUGCCUGCCUAGCUUUUCGUAAAAUCGGAUUGAUAUAAGAAUCAGAAUGGAGCUAGUGCUUCUUUAACUCGCUACCGCGUCAAGCAGCCCAAUAGCUCCUGCCGCGCUUUAACUCACUGGUUGAAGCCUUACUAACACAAGUUUCAGUCUGACGAAAACAUAUAUUGUAAUAACGGGAACUCUAGCGGCAGCGCCAUACUCUAAGCUAGACUCCUGACUCGCAUUCUUAUUGUUAGUUAAAGAAUAAUCCAACUCGAACCAAGACUGCGCCUGCUGCUGAUGGGACUAAACCUCUGUAUGGCAAACAAGAAUCUCCCUACUGGUAAACAGGCUUACUGUCCUUACUUCCAUUCUAAAUACGCUGGAAUCUACUAAUGCUCCUUACUUAUGAAAUUCCAGUUUGUGAGUUAGGGCCUGCCACUAUGGAAUCUGAUCCUUACUUAAUAGGCUUUUAGACUCAAACACGUAACUUAGACUUUGACUACUGCUCCUACUCUAUAUACUUGUUCUUAUACCUUCUUCUUCUUAUUAUUCUGAUUCUUGGAAGCUUUCCUGGCACUACGGAUUAUCGAACUGCCGAUUCAGGGUACCCUUACUUUUCGUCAACACCUUGAGACUUUCCUGCCUUUCUUAGUAACCUCAUCAGCAAUAGAGAUGAGCAUUCAAAACUCCAUUCUUCAGGAGUGAUUUCUGAACUGCUUGCUUCAUUUCGAACUCUGUAAGCGCCGAGGACCAAGGUGCUGAAAGCCAAUCAGAUACUGUUAUUGAGAGCGCAGAAACAGAUGCAUACUAGAUCUAGAGGAUCGGAUUGCUGUCAAAGAUGCAUUUAUUACUGAUGUCCCAUAUCUACUAUAUCUAAUAGGAAUGUAAAAACCCUUUCCUAACUACGAAGACAGGAUGGACAGGAAUUGCACCACUUCUGUUAGCGCCCCGAGAGUAAGCUAAUGCACAAGGGCGAAACAAUAAGAGGAUUGGAAGUAUAUAAACCGGUAAGAUUCAAAAGAAAGAGAAGCUAGUCAGAUUCAAAAGAAAGCCAAGCCAGUAGGAUUUCCAAGAAAGGGAAGUAACGCCGGUAAGUUCGUUGAUGCUAAGCUCGUAGACAAGUAACUACUAAUGGACAAGCAGCGGCGUCGGAUUACUGCUGACCUACUUCUAAUAUUCUUUAACUAUACUUUGAGAAUGGACAAGCCAAUCACCUCUUUCGUAGACAAGGAAGGCAGGACAAUCUGUUGACAUGGAGUUCAGUGGAGUUAUGGGCUUUCCCUUGUAUUUCUUUUGCAUCCUUAAAACACUUGUAUUGCCUUUGCAUCCUUAACUUGUAUUGCUUCCUUUCGAACUACAAUCUACUAAAUGACACUAUAACUCCCAUCUACUUAAACACUAGCACCCAAAGACACUCAGAUUCAGUGCGCUGAAGAAAAGGUGUUCAGUGACUUUCUGACUUAUUUAUAGAAGUAUAAGGUGUGCAGUGAGAUUGAAUAAGAGUGACGGGCGACUUAUUAAUUCGAAAUGAAACAAGCAACAGCUUGAGCAAAGGGAGAAAGUCAAGUUGAGUAGCCUGUCAAAGGUAUAAACAAGAGAGUGUUGAGUAGCCUGUCAAAGGUAUAAACAAGAGAGUGGAGUAUGAAAGAAAAGGUAUAAACAAGAGAGUUGAGUAUGAAAGCAGUAAGGAGGGAGGUGACUUCUUUCUAGAUGUGUAACGCUCUCUUCAACAAGAGCAAGGGCGCCAGUGGAAACUACUAUAGAUGCAACUAAGUGUCGGCCUACUACUGCUCCCCUACUAUAUUGCUCGCGUAUCCAGUAAAGUAUCCGCGUGUUCCCCCUGGUAUAGGUAGUUCAAAGAUGCUUUUUCUCAUCGAACAGCGGAAAAUGCAAAUACCUUUCUUUACUCCCUGGGCACUUCCUUCGUCUGCUUUCUUCCGCCAGUACUCUUCUUGCUGCUAUUAUACUAUUCUCUUCUCUUUUCUUUUCGCCCGCCUAAACUCACCGACUUGGAUAUUCCUUUUACGUACGUGAAUUAGUCCCUUGCUUGGCUACUUUAUUACGCUAUGAUUCCCAAAGAGAAAGAAAUAGAGGUAAGCUGGUAGGCUAGGCAAAGUCAAAUGGUAUAGUAUAAAUAUGUCCUUAUCUCUCUAAACAGGGGGCAAAUAUCUUUGGUGGUUGAAUUAGCUCAAAAAGAAAGGAAAGGCCUUCUAAAUCAAAAAGCAAGAAGGUUUCAUACGAGGAGUUAGAAUACAAUAACCGGAGGUGUAGCUAAUGACAAUUCGUGUUGAGUCUAUUUUGGUAAUGCUUGAGAAAGAUUGUUCUUUACCUUACCCUUCCCACCGACCUGUUGUUUUCCUUCCCCGAAUAGAUAGACCUUUUUGUCUUAGUGCAGAUCGAAGAAGAUAUUGUUGGUUGAAGUCACCAAGCAACUACGUAAGUAGCGCGGUAGCGAGCGAAACUCCCUAGUCGAUUGGAAUCCCUAGACGAAAGAGCUAUAAAUAGAAAAAGGCUUACUUGUCUCAGAGGCCCAUACGCAGUCCAUAGGACAUAGAAAAGGGACAUUAGGAUCGAUAGGACAUAGAAAAGGGACAUUAGGAUCGCUGACUUCUAUCUAGACAUUAGGAUCGCUGCCUUCUAUCUAAUAGUAGAGGCCGCAUUUAGCUCAAAUUGGGACCCUUCUCAAGUCCAGAAGAGAAGAUCCAUUCUAUACCAGGAGCAUAGCUUUCUAUUUUUCUACCAUUGGCCCGGAAUACUACUUCUUUGUAUCAAUGGCCCCAGGAGUGCCCAUCCACAGUGUUUCAUAGGUGAAGAAAGAGGCUCUCGCUUCAUAGCUUCUUUCUAGAGCCAGAGCUACAUCUUAAACAACUGGCUUGGCUUCCAAAUAGGCUCGAGCACUAGGACAUAGGAUUUCCAGCUUGCUCAAAACAAAAUAACCCUGCUUGGAUCACCUCGAUUCUUGCUUUCCUGGAUCGUUAACCAAGGGGCAGUGGGGUCGGGUAUAAAUGGCAGCCUAUGAUAAGUCAAUUCUGCACUGCAAGAAAGUCAAAUCAAAAAGCAAAAGAAUCACCGGAAGUAGGAACUUGGUAUAGGUCUUACGCAUAAGUUCUAGUAUAGCACAAUAUAUAAUUAGGGGUCGCCCGAGCACCAAAGACUUUUGCAAAGAAAAGUAAACUAAACAUUCAGUUAUUAUUUAGGAAGAAAUAGAAAGUACAACUUCCCCGGAAAUCCCAAUGGAGGUCUAUCUCUACGAUUAGUAUAGUUUACGAGUUCCUAUCUCUCAUCCGUUAGAGAGAAGGAGAUUCAAAUCUAGGGCCAAGCAGACGCCAAGUCACUACUAGACAAACAACAACUAACGGCCAAGAUGAGAUAAAAAGAUCGAAUUGAGAUGAGAUUGAGAUAGCAAGAUUGGAUUUCGAGAAGAAGCCCUUUUCAAAUAGUGACAUCUAUCGCUUUAGCCCGCUAGAGUAGUUUGCUUUACAGACCAAGAUUGAGGAUAAGACUAUGAAGUUCGAUGAAACAAGUGUGUUUAAAAGCUAUCCGACAAGCUAUUGAUUGGUAAAGAUAUGAUUACAGUUUCUGAAUUUAUAAAGCAAAAGCCUAUUCCAAAAGGAUGGAACUAGAAUUAAUGAGUUAGGUCACGCUGGAGGCUAUCAUUAUUGAUGUAUUAGUGUACAACAGUGUACAGGAUUUCUCGGUAGUUCGGGUAUCUACUGCGAUCGAACAGCUUGAUUCUGCUGUACGAGUUCAAGCGGUUACUAUGUCAAGAAAGAAAGCAGCGGCUAGUUGUAAGGAAGAUGUAAGGUGCUCCGGAUGAACGAGAAAGGAAGGGCCGCCUCGUACUUUUGAGACUCCUCUCCUUUAGUCGCCCCUUCACUUCGACUUAGUUUCGGUGCUCGCCCUAACCUAUUAAAAGCUAGUGCUCAAGCCUAAACCUUACAACUAGUAUAGCACUCACUCCCUUUUGGGUGAAAUAAGAGUUCGCCGCUUUCUUCCUUUUUCUUUUGACCUUUCUUUUGAGUUGUCUUCGAUUCUAAGCUAAGCCCUAUGUUCCGAAUCGAUUUUGAUGAUUCACGUCUAAAUUAGUUCCCCAGAGUACAGACAAGGAUCAUGAUUACCUCUUGGCUCUUUGAUAAAGGUACAAGAGCCGCAGACGGAAGGCAAGGAAAUUUCACCUACAGAAGGAGGAAAGCACUUCGAAGUCAAACUCUUAGAUGGACAGAUGUCGACACUUGAGUCAAAGUCGGAAACCGACAGUACAAAAAGAACGAAUUAUUGUCAUGAUCGGAAACGAGAUACCACAAUGUGUCAGAAAGAAAGGGCCACGACAAUCAAUCUUUCUCUCAGACUACUCUUUCAAACAAAGUAAACUGCAACAACUAACAAAUCCCAAAGAUUGGAAAAGAAGAGACCCUCCCCCAAGGCUGUAACCUCUAAAGGGUCCGCCUAAUAAUCCAGCGAAACUCCCACUUCUAUAAAGAAAGUGGCCGCCUACGGGAAAGAUAGUAGUACGUACAAAAGGGAUGCGGCAUGACUGCUGUUUUAUUGACUUUCAUUUCUGCUGUUAGCAUGGUUUGAUGGCAUAGAAUCAAUAGUUUACACGCACAAAAACAAAUAGAAAGAAGUAAGGGAAUUUCAUAGGUGACUUCUUACUCGGAUUCAUGCCCAGACUCGGACGCAUAAUGAACUUAGGGGGUGCCUUAAUAUCUUAAUCUAAUAGAAAAGGGCUUCUUGCUGCCGUACUUGGAUUAUGCCUCCGGAAUCGCUAAGUCACACAUAUCUUCUCAAAUGGGAUGAAAGAACAAAGCAUUCAGUGGGCGUUAGGCUGUUGAUGGGGGCGCUGCUAGUGAAAGAAACGGACAAGGCCUCAAAGCUGUGAGCCCUCUAUCUUUUUCAGGAAGCAGAGAGAGCAAUCACACAUUUCUACCAGGCACGUAUCGAAGUAGAAGAGGAAGUUGGUCUUACCAAAACACAUUCGCCAUUGCUCUCGGCGGAAGCUUUAGCUGUUGUUGGGAUUGUGGAACUAUGUGAAGGGAGAAAUUAGUCAAAAGGUCCGAUCAAACAUCCCGUGCAAGCUAAUCGGCUUUUAUGAGCAGUCUGACUCACACUUUGGACAUUGAUUAAUGGGCUCGAGACAGCGAAAGCAUGAUAGCGGGAAUGCUGGUAGAGCAAUCGAAGCUAGGGUUUUCUUUUCGAAAAAGAAACGGAGUUAAAGGAAAGGGCGCUGUGAACACUCGGUUUGACUAAAGCGCGUCACGUCUUAGCUUCAAUUCACUCUUAUAUUCGUACGUUUUGAACAGUUCUUUUUCUUCUCAUUUAUAUUACAUUACGAGAUUUCUGCCUUAAGGGAAGAAGGUCAUACUAAUGCGACUAAGACGACUCCGUCCGCCUAUAACUAGAAAAGCUUGAAAUCUACUAUUUCCCAGUCCGUAAGCUGGUUCAAUUACACCUGAUAUGCCAACCGGACAACUUUGGGGGAAGCCUCAUUCUUGCGCACCCACUCUUAGAUGCGGUCCUCACCUGGAUCUUAUUACCUCCACUAGCAAUAGAACUUCACUUAUGCUCCUAACCAUACCCUCCCUAAGGAUCUGACUUAUUGAAGCGAGAUACAGGAACUGCCGAGCGGAGCAACUCGAGUUAGACGAGAGGCGGGGAUGUCAUUUCCAAGAGAGAAGAGGCUCGACCGGACCCAAGAACAAACCUAGACAAAGGAAAGAAGACAUGCCCCACUGUGAUACCUCGUGCAAGUUCUACGGAAUUACCUGAAAGAAGUCAUUAGCUUCUUGAUAUUGAGUGUGCCUUAGCUUACCUUGAGCAGGGCCUCUGCCUAUGUAUAACAACGUCCUUGUCGACGACACCCCCUUUUUGUCCAUUGGCGCGAGUCAACUAUACUUAAGUAGGGAAUUGCAUGCGAGACUUCCAGGGUUUUCUUUAUAUUUCAAGUGAAAGCUGGAUGAAAGGCAAAGGCUCAGAGGAUUUGAUGUCAAAAGAAUGCCCUACGAACGUGCUUUUCUUGAUCUACAGUGCCAGGGUUGCUUGGUAAGAUAGACCUACGAUCGAGGUUUCGUAGCCUCGUGCUCCAACUAGAAAAGCUAUCUGUCGGUCAGUCAAUCCAUUCAUUCAAUUAAGUCUUUGCGAGCGGGGCACGAGAUAAGACAUGAGAUAAUGUGUUAUGGUUAUUAAAGAUGAGGAAGACUUGGUUUAAAGCAAAUAUCGAUUCCAGGUUCACCUUGUUUUCGUGAGUUUUCCCAUCAUAAAGGAAUGGGGACAUUGCGAGAGACUCUCGAUUUGCUGCUAUACAUUUGGAGAAAGUGGAAUAAGAAAGGCCUUAUACCGUAACAACAAAGAGGCUGAUUUGAUAACGUUAGGAUAGGCGCACGGGGCUAGACCCAUCGCAGACCAAAAACGAAAGCCUUUACUAAGCCUAAGAAAAGCUUGUCAAAAGACCCCCGAAGAGCUGACCUGACCAAAGCUAGGGCAUUUAGGCUGUUGGUCGGUAGGUAAAGACCUGUUGGGGACUUUCCAAAAGCUCCUUUCGACCUCAGCUACACAACAAAGACCGAUACAAAAGAAGGGGACCUGACUGGGGGAAGAGGCUAGGAAUAUAGUCAAUGGAUGAAUUUCACCCUAUUGCUUACACCAGAGAGGCUAGUGAGAUCGAUAGAGAUAACGAGGCCAGGCGAAGAGACCCAUUCUGUCUUUCUUUAUUAAGAGAACGGGAAUACGGAAUGGACCCAUACGUAUUAAGAGAACGGGAAUACGGAAUGGACCCAUACCCAUACGCUCAUUUUGGACCGAAGCGAGAGAUUCCUCCUCUCUACUCUUCCGCUUAUUCGAUUAACUCGGCUAUUGCAGAAAGUGAACUUCCAUAAUACUGUAAAACACUUUUAGAGAAACUAGCAUCUUGCAUCUCAAUUCACUAGCACAGCCCUUCUUCCGCUUUGACCAAGCCUUGAGGAGACUACUGGCUAGGAGAGAAAUACUCUAAUGAAAGGAGGGGCGGAUGUGACUAUACAAAACUAGAUCCAUAAGAGGGCAGAGCCUCGGCUCACGUUUUCACUAAAAGAAUCAAGCGAGCCUUUUCCUCAUGGAUAGAUGCAUUUCCACCUAUUGCUUAUAAAGGACCAGACCCACCAAGAGAUCGGAUUAGAUGAAGGGGAGGAGAGAGUACUACUAUGUGAAAGAACGCUAAUCGCUUAAGGAAUAGAAUCUUAUAAAGAAACGGAAUCCACAGCAAUCGAUGAACUGAGCCCAAGCCCACCUGCAGCUAAUGAGAAAAGUCCUACCACUGACAGAAGUUUCAUAAGCAAGCAAAGAACCAAACCAAUCUCCUCUUGACCCGGCAAAGAAAGAAAGGAACGAACGGGAUUCACACCGGCAACUCCCAAAACCAGAUUAACUGGGGAGCCAGCAAGAAGGGCAGGAGCUUUUUCAACCGAGGCUGGGGGAGAUAUUUACACAGAUGUAUUUCAAUAAAUAGGAAUGAAGAAGCCCCUAAACAGAAUGACAGAGACGAAAGAAGUGGAAACUUUCACAUUAGAACAGCCCAACGGUAUAGACUACAUUGGAUUAAUUCAUUCUGAUAUCUUUGAAUCGGUCUCAAGUCUGAGGUCAUAGCAUCCUUGCUGGAAAUAGUUCCUCUCCUCAGGCCCUGGCCUAGUAGCUCGGGUCGGGCAUGCCCUUUUCUUCUUUCUCGUCCAUGAAGCCUGGGGUCCUUUAAACACUUCUCCCCCCACGUGCCCAAACCGAUCGCUAUCGUUUUCUUGCUUUCUUGUUGUCUUGAAUUUGGAUAGAACGGCUUUCCUUUUAUUGUGUAGUGUGUUAGAAAUUGACUUUGUUAAGUAAGUGCAGUUCGUGGUUUCUGGGUAUGCCCCACUCACGGUUAAGAAAGAAUCAGGUGAGUUUUUAGUUGAGCAAAGGGCUUUCUUCCUCUAAUAAAGAUAUAUUCUAAAUAGAGAAGAGAAAGAUAAUCCAACUACGGCUUAAACAACGCAUAAAGGCCAUAUUAGACUACUAGAGCUCCUUGUCGUUUCGGGGAGUACGCGUACAAAAGUUGUAUACGAGAAUCUCAUUGGGUGCAAGCGAGUGUUGUCGUUUCGUUCUUAACUUCUUCAGCGCUAAGUUAAUCAGUAGAAUCCCCUUCUUUUCCGUAGAAUCCCCUUCUUUGGGUGCGAGUUUUGAAGUAUAAGUAGGUUAUUGUUGAGUUGAGUCUCAUAUAGAAAGGGAAAGGGUCAUUAUUGAAUAAGAGGUGAAGCAGUGCCCAGAUGAAGCUGUUUAGUUUGAAUUGUGGAAUGAAAUAUAGCCUAGUGUUUCUUAGGUUUGUAUAGAUAGAUCUUGGUAACCUGACAUUCCAAAGCCCCCAAAGUAAGCUGAUAGAGCGGCCAAGUAACUACGUAAGUGACGAAGAAUCGAAUCUCAAAUCUCAUGUUGAGGUGAAAUAAAUAUCAUCAGCUGGGUACUUAGCAAGAGGGGGGCAAACUACGGCAAAGGUCUCUGUCUAUGUGUUGGGAGUUCGAGCAAAGGUCGUAGAGAUAGGGAUGCUGUGUAUUUACUCAAUUCUUUACGGGGCUCGGUAAGAGGUAUAUUCUCUAUUCUUAUAUUACAGCGCUAUAUGGAAUAUCUCUCGCUUUCGUUGCUUGUCCGUUAGUAUACGCUUGCACUUAUUAACAUUCCUUGCUCCGGUCCGGGCUGCUACCCCAAAAUAGGAAAGAAAAGCAAGGUGCUAAGAGCCUGUUUAUAGCUCAAAUGCACAUCCAGCAAUUAAGGAAGUGCAGAACCGCGCUCUAAGGAAUAUCAUAUAGUGCACAAGUUAUGUAAAUCAUUAACCUUACUUCUAUUACUAGAAAUCAUUAACCUGACUCUGUUACUCUAAGCUAAGUCUGCUCUACGGAAGGAAUAUGCCUGACUCUGUUUGUUACUCUAAGUCUGCUCUACGGAAGGAAUAUGCCUGACUCUGUUUGUUACUCUCUUCUCUAAGUCGGCUCUACUCUUACUCUACGGAAGGAAUAUGCUUAGGGCUUUCUGAAGACGGAUUCGAUUGAUUCAUUUCUUAGUCUAGCUAUCCACAGAAGAAUAACAAACUACUCUGGAACUCACAUAAGCACUUUAAGAACAAGAACUCACGUUAGCACUUUGGCGAAAGAAAAUCAUUGAGCGUUCACAGACAGAGUGCAUAGAAUUCAUGAAAUAUAGGCUUACUUAACUUACGGAAAUAGAAAUCUCAUAUAGGUGAAAACGGAUAAUAGAGUAACCUGACUGCCAAAAGCUUGUUUAUUAGCAUAGUAUAGAAGAAGUAAACAAACAUGGAUUACCUUUAAUCACGAAUGGAGUUUACCCUAGACAGCACGAAUUAAGGCAGCCUUACCCUAGACAGCACGAAUGGAGUUUACCCUAGACAGCUUAUUAAAGGAUAGAAGGACAGAGGCAUAGGCAACACAGCUUAGCUUAUUAAAGGACAGAGCAGAGGACCGUGUGUUAUAAGCUUAUUAAAGGAUAGAGCGGAGGAUCGUGUUAGAUUAGAUGAGUACUCGAUAGAGCAGAGAACAGUGUUAGAUAAGUACUCUCUGUGAACCCUUGCUUGUUCGGGUGUUGUCGACAAGAAAGAUCUUAUUGAUUGCUCUGACUCUAAAGAAGAGCAUCUCUCCUAGCAUAUGAUAACUGUAACCUGACAGCAAACUAACUUCUUGCUUAUUGUAUUGUAGUUCGGGGUGUUAACGUUCUUUAAAUGGAAUCUAGCAUAACCAAUAUCCGAGUAGUAAACAACCUCUCUAAAGCAAAACCAAUAAAGGAAUAGUAUACAAUCUAUCUAAACCUAGCUAAACCAAUAACCAAUAUGAUAGUAGUAAACAAUCUAUCUAAACUCUCUUAUUGUGUUGCGCGGUACACCACGAAACUAAGGAUGGGCACCUGGGGUAAAGUCAAAAAAUGGAGUAUAGUCCCCUAACUCACUAACGCCGAUGAACAAAGGACACUUGUCUUGAUGCAAAGACGGGUUCUUCAGAUGGAAUUGAUUCUUACCUUCCAAGCAAGCCUUUACUAGAUGAUGAUAAAGAUCUGUCUUCCGCCCAACAAGCAACUCAACAAGCAACGAACGAAUAAGAAACUAACUUACGUGAAAAAGGAGGGAUGCAAAGGGCUAAGGCUAACAUGUAGUAGAGUGAAGUUACUCAUCGCCAAUCACUGAUUGAAUUGCGGAUUUCAAAUCGAACAGAUGAUGGACACUAGCGGCCCUGACGCCUUUUCAUUUUGACUUGCUUGCCCAGAACCAGUUCCAAUUUCUUUAUUACUUGUUAUGCUUUUGUAGUAGUAGCUUGGCUGGAUGAAACGGAAACUACGGAUUCUCUAAACUCUAAGGAGAAGGAUACCUCGCUCGCGCACCCUUUCCAAAAUCAAGGUAUCGUUGCUACUCCGUUUCAUUGUCUCCCUUUCUUGGAUUUCCAUUUCUUUUGCCGACCUAAACUCUCACAUCGUCAAUCAGUAUUCGGUGAAUGUGUGGCGAGCUUUUCCACUUCCGAUAUAGUACCUAAAUGUUGGAUUUGCUAUUAGCUACUAAGAAUAUAGGUUAACCGACUCGAAUAAGCUUUCUUAAGCCCCUUGAUAGUGCUCGAUAAGACCUCUUGAUAAACCACAUACACUUCCGGGUUUGAAAUGACACUUCUUUUCUUGUCCCGCUAUAGCUUCUUUCUUGUACGGAAUAUGGAACUUCUUCUUACUCAACUUCUAAGGCACUCGCUGCGUAACCUUAUUGUAUGGGGUUAGGGUACCUAUCAAUAUGAUUCUCUUCAAGCAAGUUGUCCAUCUGAUUCUUUUCUGCACUUUCUAACGCGCUUAAUAGAUGUUGCUUCUUUGUUUGUUUACUUCUUCUAUAAUCCAUGUGCAUUCAAUUCCAUUCGGAAAGGCUUAUAUAGGCAAUAAGCAAGUACUUGGGCAAUAAGAAAGUACGCGGCAGGGCAAAAAAGCCGUAUAGUACCAGGGCAAAAAAGCCGUAUAGUACUAGGGCAUCUCCUCUUUCACUCGUAUUGUAUGAAAGUAAUAUGCUUUGCGCUAACGUUUGUUUCUACUUUACCUGGAUACCGCACAGCUUUGCUUAAUCGCUACGUUGGCAAAAGAAAAGAGUGGAUUUGAUGCUGAACCCUAUGCCUCCGCCUUACCAUGAACCUGAAUUGAAUGCUUGACUUGCUCCUUACGCUCGCUGUAGCUCAAACAAAGUAGUAAAGUAGAGUUGCACAGGACUCAAGUACUUAAUUAUUCCCUCGCCUUGCGCCCAGACUUGAUAGCCUUCUUUCAGCGCGCAGACUUGGAACAUGGGUUAUACGACAUCUUGCUUUCCCCUACAAGUAUUAUCAGAGCAUUGUCGGGAGGCAAGAUUCGGAAUUGAUUCCAACAAUGGAAGUUUACCCCCCCGACGAGCUCAGUUCUUUGCUUUCCUUUUUCCGACCUCAACACUGAUUGAAUUGCAGAUGAAACGAAAACAGAACAUUCUCCCCACUACUAUCUUCUUAACCGAACUCGACUCGUACCUUAUACUUAAGCUAGAGAAGGAAUGGAUGAAUUUCCGAACUCGUAUAAUUCACUCCUGGUCUUCUUCGAAAGAUUGCUUUUCGACAAUCCCACGUUGGCACCCACCUAUAAUCCCACGUUUCACCUAUUUCCUAACUAUAAACUAAAGGAAGUAUCUCCUUUAUAGUGUAGCUCAACGCUUAGAAGUUGAAGAAGUAAAGCACCUUCUCUUGAGGAACUACUUAUUCUAGCUAGCUCUAGAAGAGGAAUAACUCCUAGCUUUGGUUGAAACUAUAAGUUAGUGCGGGUAUUGUCGAGCUGGCCCAAAUUCCAACUGGAAAGAAAACGCCCCGUAGUUGAGAUCAGGCCUCUAAGAAACAAGAUUCGCUCCAUCUUGAGGAUCCGCCCUAUCCUUCUAUUAAACGAUGUUGUUAGAUGGUGAGCUCUUCUUUAUGGAGGUGCUCCUCUGGGCUUAGUUAGCUCUUGCUUCAGUCUUUUCUACCUCUUUCUUCUUGUAGCUAUUGCCCUAUUCCCUCUAAACAAGACCCGGCUUACUCGCUGGCGGAUCAAAGCGGUUUUUUCCUACUUUACCUCUUUUGUUGCUUUUGGGGGUUAGCUCUUCCUGACAAACCUUCUUGAGUGAGAUGCCACUAAAACAGGAGAGGAGAAAGUGAGCUCUUUUUUAGCUCCUCGCUGCUCUAGUCUGUGUAUAACUGCAAUUAAUGAAGCGCGCGGCACUCAGCGAUCUCAGGGCUUACUUGGAAGACUCUUCGGCAAAGGGCGUUGCUACUUGUGACUACUUAUAGUGAUGACCUACUUAACUCCCAGCUACCAAAUACAGCUCUAAUGGGUCGAAGCAAGGGCGGUGAGGCGAGUUGUCGAAGUUAUUGUAUGAGAGGAUGUGGUGAUUCUAUUUUCUUCCACUUUAGAGCUUGUGAUUGAGGAACUUUGCAUUUGAUUAACGAAGUGAUUGAGCAUUUAACUAGCACCUUAAUGAUUGCAUAUAGAAGACUACUUUUCAACCCUAGGGGAAUGGACUGGCGGAGUCGACGAAUACGGUGCUGGAGCUAAGAUAUUAGGCAAAUCCUUAUAUCAAAUCAAUAUGGGGGCGUAGCGAUCAUCAGUAUUUGUUCGUUUCUCUAAUAAAAGGAGGUUGGAACUUGGAACUAGAUGCCUUCCCCCCUUUGGUCGGUAAGUAAUUCUAACAAGGGAAGAUCAGACUCAUAAAAAGAUCAAACCAAAUAAAAGCUACACACACUGUAGAUUCUUGCGUUGCGCUAGGAAAAGUGGCUUGUGCCAAAAUGUAGGGUGAAGCUGCAAAAUCCAAUGCCUUCUUUGCUUCUUCGGGGAUGCUAAUGCUCGCUUCUUUUUCUUUCCUUGCGUGCCUCUUUCUUCGCGCUGCUCCUUCCAUAGCCUAUCGCAGCCAACACACCUUUGCGAAAUCCUUUACUUAACCCAUUUUUCGAAAAAAGAGAAACCUGCCUUACAAACCGAGCUCGGGCCCACCCCCUUGUGAAAAGAAUUAUGGCUCUCCCCCGGUCUGUCUCUAUGCUUAAUUCCGGAUUUCUCCCUUCUUCCCUCUGCUCUGUGAACGUACCGAACCUUCAUCCUUUAUUAUGCCGCAUUCGACUAGAGAACGAAUCUAGAUAGCAAUCAAACCUUAUGGCUUAGAUUACCUAGACGUUAGAUUCCUCAGUUGGCAUUCUAGUAGGCUUUUGGAUUUGCCUUUCGCCGGGUUGGAACAGGGCAGUCGCCUGCGUUGAUCCCUUGUUGGAAACGAUUCGGCUGUGUCAUUCGAGUAGUCUUUUCAAUGUGUGCUCUUCUCUUAACAAGGCCUUUUUCUAGCCAAAGAAUUCGAAUGGUGAUGAAAGUAUUGAGACAAGGAGGGAUGCAUGGUACCCACGUUACUAAGCCUUAUUCCCUAUGUUUUUCGGCCUAUUCUAUAGGAGAACUCUUCUUCUCACGCUUACAAUGACCCCGAGUAGGACGAGCUGGCAAUCUCCGAAAAGGGUUAUCAGGCUCAUGGCCAAGAGUCGCGUGGUGAUCAAACUCUGGACGCACCCACGCUUUCAACAAAACAAACUGGGCUAAUAUAUGUACCUGAUGAUUGCGAGGCCCUUUACUCCACCUAUUGGCAUAGGUUAGAAAUAAAUGUACUUGACCAAACUCACUAAUAAGAAUCAACGUUGGGACAGAAACUCACAUCUAUUCUAUAUUCCUAUCUCCUAAGCACGAGACGAGCCAUAACCUAAGGGGCGCAUUAAAACACUCGCUGGAACAUAACUAUGAGGCUUUGAGGGGUCUUCUAAAGUCAAGCGCUUUUCGCAGUAAAAGCACUUUGUUUGGGAAGUUAUACCCGAAAUGGCUAGUAUCCGGUAUUGUAAAGCAUUCCUCACGGCUGUAACUGGCAAGCUACUACGACACUUCUGAUUGUUGCUAUUGUUGCUAUUAUAGUGGAUGCACUAGACCACACCAAUGAAUUGAAGAAUUAGAGAAAGAAAAGGUAGACUUAGAGCAAAGAGGGGAAGGCCGAGAUAAGGUAUAGUAGGAAUAAGAGAUAGGGCUGUUAUAAUAAUCGAAAGUUAAGUAGUAUUGAUAGGGUGGAAUCAGAAUCAAAGGAGGGAGGGUCUCAGAAGCUAGGUUCCGAUGCAGUGGUCCAAGGCUGAAAGACAGGAAUAUCGGAUUCGAAGAAAGGUGCUUCAAGCCUAAACAAUCGAACUACAAAAUACAAAUAGGUAAUGUCCGCUUUAUGGAUAGGGAAGCAAAGAUCCAUAUCGAUAGCUAAAGAAUUCAAAGAGAAAGUAAUAGGAUAGAUCUGUAUUUAAAGAAUCAGAAGAAAAGUUAGGGUAGUUAGCCCUGUUAGCAGUAGUCAAUUCCCCGGUUCGAGUUGUUUUCUUAUUGGCAGUGUUCGGAUUCCCUUUUCUCUUGUUUCAGUAUUGUUUGCCCUAACUCGAUUCUUUUGUGUUAAUAGUGAAAGGCUGUUUGCCAGCUGCUCAAUUCUUAUUGAACUAGUAUCAAUCUUAUAUCACUGUAACGUUUAUAAAUACAGAAUCACUAUAAGGAGUCACAGGCUAAGAAAAAGGAAAGGCAGACUAAUAGACAGGAAUUACAGGCUAUUACAACAGAGGUAAAUACCUUUUUGAGAUCCGUAGCCUAAGAGCGACAGAAGCUAGUAGGUAGGGGACUACAGUCUAUAAGCUAGGAUACAAAGAGCAGCACCGGAGAAUGAGAGCUCAGGGAUAUAGAGACUUAAAGCAGGCAAGGGAAAGCUUGGAAGCACUAGUUCCUUUUUUCGAUAUAGUAGUAUAGUUCCAAUGGUAUAGUCGUUUUCUUCCAGGAAUCCAUCUUGCUUAGGGUCGGGUCAAACAGUUCUCUUUCGAGCACAGAGCAGAGGUCGACCACCUAAAGAAAGGGGCAUGCAAAGUCCAAAGGAGCUGCGGAUUCUUCUGCUUCAAGUAAAACACCCGAAGAAACUCCACUUUCUUCCUUAAACACGAGCAACCGUAUAAUAGAAACACGAGCAACCGUAUAAUAGAAGUUAGCAACUUUGAACUCACAAACUGACUAUAAGGGCCUCAACUCGACUAUCUUCUUACUCGACCUAAACUUGAAGAACCGAUUGCAGCUUACCGCUUUGAUACCGAUGUUUCAGAUCCAAUUACCUCUUUCUAAUACAAUACACCUUUCUUUCUCUAUUUCUCUUAUAGCAGCUGCGCCAACUGUUUGAUUUGAAACUGCUGAUUCUAUCUCUCCGACCUCAACUUGAACCCUUUACUUAUCCUUUUCAUGGCAAGUUCCCUUUGGUGGCUUCUUUGAAUGUGGAAAAGGAGAAGUCCAGCUCUCUUUCACUGCCUUACUUUGGACUUUAUCUAGCCAAAGAAAGACCCGCAUUUGCGCCAAAGCCAAAGACCUGCCGCCAAGCCCAGGAAGCUCAGUAUUCUUAAUCCAGGAAGCUCUUUAUUCAGGAUGCUCAUUCUUCUUAAUCGAAUAUUAUCUUACUUCCAAGGCAUAACAAAUCGAAUAUAUUACUUCUUCCAAGGCAUAACAAAUCAUCAUUAUUUGGGCAAAGAAAGGAUGCAAUAGCAUCGGUUAGAGCAAAGCCCCCGCAUAAUAAUUGUUUCGCCAAUGAGAGAUUUCACGUCACGGAAUUAAUCGAGGCGAGGAAGGGAAGUUAAGGACGGUUCCAAUAUAGACUGCUGUUUCCACUAAAGCAAUUGUAGCAGCUCUAGCACCCAUUUCUUUUGCAACCUUAUUCAUUUAUUACCUUCUAACAUCUCUGUCGAGUUUCUAAUUCUCGUCACUUUCAUUCACGAUUAUCUCUUGACUCGUUGAUUCUUGGGCGGACGGGCAUGAUUUUCGAUAUGUUUGUUGUAUAGUGGCAUUGGCUCACAGACACAGAAUGAAUUGACUGCUGCAUAUACUAUACUUUAUCACUAAUCAAAGGUAUUACUAAACUUGAUUCACUAACUCAAAGUCUUGGUUGGAGGGAAGGGGCGGGGCGUCGCUGAAGUGCAAUAGAGAUUCUUCAAACAAAUCGUAGUUAGGACCGUUUUCUUCAAUAUCUCGAGUUUAGCCAUGCAAAAGACUUCCUUCGUUGGAAACUAUUGCUAUUUCAUUUCAUCAAAAUAUGGGAGUUGAUGCUUUCUAUUCUAUAAAGUACGCUUCCUCACGAAUCUCUCUCUAAGGAGACAUAUUCCUUUUUGAUUCUAGUCAUGGUUCAGAAAGAAUAUGAAAUGCAAAAGUAUUUCUUGCAAGUCCCUUUAUUUUGACUCAAUGAUCCGAUCCACAUUUCCUGAAGCUCGUAGGAUUAAAGCCUAAUCCCGUAACUGUUCUAUGUUCAUUGAUUGCAGUGCGGAACUCUGUGAGAAAAGAGAUUAGUUCUUCGUUUUUGAUAAUUGUCUAAAUGAUUAUAAGAAAUAUUCCUUAGCGCGCGCCCCCCAAUAGUCUUAUCAUGGGUUCCAUGGGCCAUUUCUCUUAUAUCUUUCUUUCUAUCAUUUGAAUGCAUUUUACCUAUGACAUUAUCGCUCUGCUCUCCUUUAGGUUUCCUUUGCAUCUUGCACACCAUAUGCGCCUCUCUGGGAUUUCCUUCGUUCCAAAGCGAAGUCUUUCCCCUAUUCUUUCGUUUUGACCGAGCAAGGCUUUGCUUUUCACUUGAAAGGAAGGGCCACUUCGCGCUUGACUAAUAUAGAGGGCUUUCGGGUAUGACAAUUAAGAGCCUAUUUCGUGCUUUACUUGCAUUGGGGUCAUAGGUGGCCAUGUGAUUGAGAAAAUGCUCCUUGCUCCCUACUCUUUUCAAAAGAAGAAACGGAACUCCUACUUAUUGAAGAAACUGAACUCCUACUUGAUUGAAUAAUAUUGAGAGGGCUAUUGAUUGGCACCCUCUUGAAAAGGCACCGCACCGAUUCACUUUAGCUAUUGCCAUGCUCCAUGAUGCCUAUGUGUUACUAUAGCGAGUCACCUUGUAUGCAUUCCGAGCGAGUUACCUUGUAUGCUUUCUUAUCUCUUUCGCUUCCUUUUUGAUUGUAUUGAUUUGCCUUACUACGAAGGGGACAUCUACUUUCUAUUCUCAAAAUGGGUUGGCUUUUGACUUUCUCUCUUUAUUCUUUUUGCAUCGAGGAGCACGUGAUACUAGGAACUUGGUUUUGCAUUGCAUCGUGAUACUAGUCACUUUGCCCAUUGGAUUGCAGCAUCACAUCAGAUCUGAGAAGAAAGAUUUGGGUCUGGGAGCCACGAUCAGCAAUAAAGCCACGACAGAUCUCAACAGGACUCACUAGUUUAUCAGCACGACAGAUCUAAACAGGCCGUUAGUUGUAGCUUGGCGUGCCUUAACCGCUUGCUACUGGACUAUUGACCCUUGCUUGUACCGAGUAAACUCAUUCCAUUCCAUUCUGAAGUAUACGCUUGGCCUUAAUAACUAGUGAUUUGAGUUCCCGAACACCCCAGCACAGCACAGGACUUGCUCACUCCCUUCGAAAGUAUACCCUUUUUCCCUAUCGUCUACUUUUAUUGCACUGUUUCGAUUUGGCUUAAAGUCUACCCCCGAACUCUACUUUCAACAGGUGAUUUUCUUACUGAAACACUCCAAUCUAUACCUCUCGCUACUGAUUGACACCGCGCUUCAGUAUUAAGUAAGUUGGGCCAUAAUAAACAAAGUCAAGGCAAGCAGGAGGAAGGCCAUGCUACUGCUGACUUUAUACCGCUCCGUGGGCAUUAAAAGAGAUGAGGCUGACUUUGACUUGUACGAUGAAACGGAAACUGGUUACUCGCGCCCUUGCUUCAUAGAUUACCCUCCCUGCCUGGAACCCUGCUCUACUGGCUACCAUUCUCACUUCACUACCUUUGUUUUCACCCUAUAACUAGCGCAUCCAACAAUGAACCAAUCAACUCGUAAUUGAACUGCUACGGCUAAGACUUUCGCUAGCGCUAACAAGAAUGUAUCCUCUAACUCAAGCUACUGGAUCCGAUUAUUACUACCUUGUCCUUAAUUCUGACUUGAAUGCCUACGCUUGGCUGUUAGCCUCCCACUAAGGAUCUAACAUCUCUAUUGGCCCCUUCGACUCCUUACUCAUAUGACUCAUAUGCAAAUAUUGAUUCCUCGCUUUCACACCUGAUUGAGAGUUGACUUAUGGCUUCCCUUGCCGACCUAGACCCUACUUUAGAACCAGAACUUUACCACUACCCGAGCCCAGUAUAAGUAAGUCUACUACCCUCCCCUAGUGAAGGAAGGAAACUGGAGUAUCUAUUUGCUAUCAGGCAAGUCGACAACUAGGUUCAUUCUUAUACAACUGAGUUCUAUCCUAAGGCCUUGUAUGCUUGUCUGUUUGCUCUUCUCUUUAUCGCCAACGCUCUAUAGCACUCUUCACUUCCAUUCUUUAAUGCCUUUUGACUAAUUCUUUCUUUUUCAUGUCUACAUUUCGCUUUCAAAAGGAAGGAAUGCACUCAUAUUCCUAAUGCCCAGAGGAGGACAAGGCCCGCAGCCCUGCCUUUCAUGCGUUCUGCACGUGAAUAAGAAAAGGAGCCCUAUUUCAGUGCUGUUUCAGAUGGCUUAUUACGAGUCAAGGGACACUUUUCGCUGUUAUGAGCAUCCUUUCCAAUCCUGAAAGCUGCCACAAGGAUACAAUUCCAUGUCUUGCGAUGAUUAGGGAUUAUAGAGGUCAUUAUUACGGAUCUCUUCUCUAUGUUCUAUGUUCUAGAGUUUACGACCAUAAGAAGAAAGACGAUUCUAUUUUGUAUUAGGCAUCGAAGCCUAUGGAGCAGAGCUGUAGUUUUGAAAGGAAUAGGGAGUUGAGCUCGACUGAAAGUAGUCUACAUGGUUAGCUUUUGAGUUCUGAUAUAACGAAUGAAAGCCGAUAAGGCCCUGCAAAGGAGAAUACUAGAGUCGAUGUAAUUGAGCUCGAACGUUAGUGAACGAGGUAUAUAAGCGAGUCAACCAAAUAGAAAUCCUGAGUGGAGGCUCUGGCAAGACCUCGAUUCGGUUAGCGAAUACCUAUGGGCGAGAAAGGAGGGGCUCUCAACAACUUGGAUAACGAACUAAGAGCACAUCUAGUGUUAGCGAGUACCUAACAGGAAAGGCAUCCCACUUUCUUUUUAUGCAAUGUAUGCUUUUCAAACUCUGACUGUUCCCUUUUGUCUCUAUUCCUUACCCUUUCUAUGCUAUAAGUAAUAACUCAAACAGUAAAUGCAAUAUAAUGCCGUAUUUGAAAGAAUGAAGUCAAGUCCGGGGGUAGGAGAAAGUGCUAUCUUAUUCUUAUGAAUAAUUAGCUGAGACAAAAGCAUUAGCAUAGGCAGAAUCAGCAGCAUCAGCAAGCAAAUGCCUUUCUUCUCUUAGAAUGAUCAUGAAUGAAAUCCUACUCGCCUUAUUCUUACUAUGUGCUUUAUGGAAAAUGAUGGAUGAAAACCCAUAUUCUAUAUGAGAAACAUAUGCAACGGGAAGAAAGACCCAUUACAAGUUCUCGGUUAGACAUGAAGGAGGGUUGCUUUCUCAGUUGGAAGUGGAUUUCUCAGCCUUAUUCAAGUGGCCCAGGGAUAGCGAAUGAAUCUUGAUGACGAGCAAGUAACGUAGUUAGAUUGAAGAUGAAUGUUCGAAAGCUCGACCAAAAGAAAGAGAAAGAAAAGAAUCCAGUCGUCCAAUAGAACUCAUUUGGAAUCAAAGACGGGGCAGAGAUUGCUUGCCCGAAGAUGUAGUCAUUUCAUUACAAGAAAAGCUUAACUUAGACCUAAGACGAGCCCUAAUAAACGAUCUGGGAGAGGGCAGUAAUCAAAAGUUCCACCGAAGGAAGUGCUGCAUAAAGGGCGGGUCCAACUUACACAGGAGAGGAUUACCCUAGCACUGAAACGGAAACGGGCAAGGCUAAAAGAAAGGCGUAAAGGUAGCUCACGAAAGACAACAGCGCCUCCACGCCUAUUCGAUAGUGAUUCCGAUAACAUCCUAUAAGAGCUGAUUCAAUCGGGUUAUUAGGAAGAAAGGAAAGUUCUUGCCAUCUCCACAGAUAACUAAGAAAGUGGCUUUUCAAUCGAAAGAUCCCCUGAUAUUACCGAAGAAAAUAGAAUGAAUUGAGCAACUCGUGAGUAAAGUAGUGGAUUUGCCCUCGUAAUGCCGACAAAUGGGAGAACUUUAAAGACAAUAAGCAGUGGGCCAAGCUACUAUCCCGGGGUUAAUCACUCGUCGAGUUCCCGGGUUAGAUUCUAAUCAGUAUUGGUGAAAGAGGAUCUGCCUGCGGAGUUCUCGAAUCAAAGUCUGGAUGCCAGGGAUAAGUAAGGAGCCUUAAGAGUCAAGAGAUCAAGUCAGAAUAAAAGACAGGCGAGGUCGCCUUAGAUACAUUGAUUGAGGCAAGGUUCGGUGUCGUCGGUAGAGGAAGUCCUAUCUCUUUGGUUGACUCUUUCUAGUAGUGAUCCAGUAGUGAUUUCCGCCUGAGGCCCCUUUCUCGAAUGCCUAGUUUGAGUAUACGCUCCAAUGCCUAGUUGCUAGUCCACCUAUUCCAGGAGGAAUUAUUUGACCUAAGAGUGGAGUUCCCUAUCUCGGGGUAAGGUAUUUGUUAGCCAGGGUCCUAUUCUCGUAUGCCCAAGUUCACUUAUAUUUAUUACUAACUCCAUUAUUUAGUGCAAUGUUUCCGGUCUUAUACCAGCUCCAUGUUCUACUACUCUAUCCUGAUCUAUUUCCACUACUCUAUCCUUUAUGUACUAGUUCCAUUCUUGUUAGCAGCGGUUCCAAUCUGAAUGCCAUAGUUGGAUCCCUACUUAUAAGGCUUCUAGUGUUGGAUUUCCCAUUCUCUGUUUCGGGCUGAUGGGCCGUAAAGCAAUAUUUCUUUGUAGUCAAGUAAGAAGGGAGGACAGGCUCCUAGGCCAUUUAAGCAAGACUGAUCUGUGUUUGUCUACGGGUCGGGAUUUGAGGUUAGUGGUUCAAGAAUAAGAGCCUGUAGAGGCAGACCCCAACCUAUAACCAUAAUUUCCAUAAGUAGUGAGAGUUUUCAAUCAAGUAAGGGAGGGGGGAGGGCUAACGGGUGUAUAUCAGAAUGAAAGUGAGAGUCGGUUCGGUCUUUUUAGCAGUAGCAAUAUCUUAUAUAUGUGUAUUGGAUUAGCAGUAGCAAUAUCUUAUAUAUGUGUAUUGGAUCCGAUGCAUUGGUUAUAGCCUGUUUGUUUGUGUCACUAGCUCAUUCUUAGACACUGAAGCGCUAUUCCAUUAGUUGUUUGGUUCGUUACCCAGGUUUUAUUGAAUCCUAUUGAAAGAAAGAAAGUUUACGAGUGUGUCGCCUAGGGGAAAGGAAGUCCAUAAGAUCAAGCAUAGAUAAAGGGAAUGAAUCCAAUAAUAGGGGGCGCAAGUAUAGAGCAAGAAUCAAUAAAGUAACUACAACAAGUAUAGAGCAAGAAUCAAUAAAGUCACUACUAUAAUAUGGGGAAGUCCAGAAUAGAAAGUAUAGAUCGGGUACCUUAUUGUUAUUCUAUGCACUACAUAUAAGGAUUACUUGAAACUCGGUGGGCUCCACUUUACCUACUUGAACACUUUCUAAAUGCAAGCAGGGUUCGGUUCGGGUCACAAAUCUAGUAGUUAUGUAGGUGCCUAUAUGUUUUGUAGUCGUUUUUUAAUGUCCCGUUCGGUUCAGUUGGUUGGUCUAGUGUUUCCUUCCUAUAAGUGUAGGCUGUGGUCAGUACUUCAUGUAGUUUCUAACGGUGCCUAUCAAUAAUAAAGUAGAUCAAAUUCCCCGAUAUCCAAUUCUCAUAUCCAUAUUGCAUGACCUAUAGAUAACAUUCCCCUAUAUCCAAUUCUCAUAUCUAUAUUGCAUGAAAUCAUUCCCAAUAGUCCCCAUGAAUCUAAAUGAGGAGAAUCCCCCUUUCCUUUACCUUAAAGCUGUCACUACUAUUAUUCCUAUGCCUCUUGUCGUGUCGGUAACUUCUUAAUGAGCGGGGCUCUAAACUUCACCUCUAGUUGGCUGGGUCAGACAUUAUAACAUUCAUGAAAUACUUAACAAUCCAUAUAGGGACCGAACUUCUACGACAUUCUAGACUUAUCCGCCCAAUAGACACAUCCAUCUAAUGGAACAAAAGUGACCUGAACCUUGUACAAUAGCAAUAUACACCGAAAUCUCAUAUGAAAUCAAUCAAUGGACAGUUUUCUAAGCGACUCUAACCCCCAAACCAAAGGAAAGCGUCUUUUAUCAAUCUAUUUAUACCUUCCUAUAAUAAUGUGUGAAAAAGACCUUCGCGCGUUCUGCCUUUCUUUCUCGGUCGUCUGUCAAAUAGUUGUGGAUUCCGACCUUCUUUUCUCAAUUACUCUCUAUUUCAUUCCACUUCUUUAAGCGAGUACAUGAAAAGUAUACAUAGCGCGAUACUAGAAUGCUCGAAUGAUAGCAAGGUGCUGAAAGCCUUAAUGAGAGCAGGAAGCGAGUGUAGUAGCAAGCCAGUGGUGAGCGAUCGAAAGCGCCAAAGGUCAGUCUCAUAGGGGCGUGUAUAGCACUUUUCGAUAGGAAGAGAGCGAAGGGCAUAAGAUUUAUUCAAAUGGUUUCGCAAAGGGGUCCAGACUUAGACGAAGGUGCAGUUUCAAAAGCUGGUUUUCUGAUUAUAGGCUUUUAAUUAGAGGGGGAGCGCUUGACUCUCUUUUACACGAGGCGAACCUUUUGGUCUAUCAGCUACUUUACCUCAAAAGCUUGAAGACAUGGUUUCUACUAUAAACAAACCAAACCUUUCUUUUGAUAGCGCUUUUCUGUUAUAGGUAGAGGGAAAGUUCUAGCUUUCUGAAUAAGGCCGGCUUUCCCUAUCCAUUGAAUUGGCCGCUUCGAGAUUGGGCUUAGUCUUAGCUUCACCUAUUCGCUAUUAGAUAGAUAUAGUGGGUCAUAUAGGGAGUCUCCCAAGCCAUUCUUUUCAAUAGUAAUAGUCGUUUCUCAUUUCCAUCUUUUAGUAGUUGAUCAUUUCCAUCUUUCUCCGAUACUUUGACUUUCUUCUUACCUAUAACGCGCAACAAACAUGUAAAGAGAGUCUCGAGGGAGCAGUUAAACAAGGAGAUAUUCUAAGUGGGUCAGCUGUUCUUUGGAGUAGGAAGCUGGUUGGUUACUUUCUUCUAUCUAUUAGAUGUGUGCACUUGACUCAUAUUCCAAUUACUGUCCUGUCCACCAUAUUCCAAUUACUGUCUACGGCAGCUACUGGCCUGUAUGGAAAUUCCAUAGGAACAGCGCAAACAAGUAGAACAAGCUCCGGAACUAACAACAAAACAAGUGAGCGGCAGUAUCAGAGUUCCAGAAGCUUAACCGAUACGAUAAGUACUGAAGUCAAGCAAGGGAAAUCUUUCUAUACUUUAGUCUAGCCUUCCAUGUGCCGAGCCGAUAUUCAGGAUUAGGGAAAGCCAUAAGUGAAUCAGCAGAACAAGCAAGUCGUAGAGUGAAGAGCCCGCAGUAAGAAGAGGGUGUUUCAUCCAAAUAGAUACUCCGGAAUACCAAAUCAAAAGGAACUCGCUUACGCUUAGUGAGUUUACAGUGUUUUGUGACUUUCUGGGGUGCUGGUGCAUUAGCUUACUCUUAUCUUUGGGGCACGUAUUAUUUAGUUCAAUCCGUUUUGUGUGUUAUAAGAAGUUCCAGAGGUGUUAGCGACUUGGACCACCAACGGAUACUCGUGUGAGGGCAUCAAAGGCUUUCUUUUCUUCUGCCCCGACCUAAACAAUAAGUUAUUAUCAGGCUUAUUCAUCAAUUCCUUCUUCAGCGCGGUAUCUUCUAGCUUAGCUUAGUGAAGUCUACUUAUGCUCUUUUCUCUCAACUCCACUAGAUUAGGAUUCUUCCCUGAACGAAACUGGAAUUGCAGCUGACGACUUUCUCUACGACUACACUUGAAACCCUACGUCACUCGUCUACAAGAACUUUCUUUGCAACAGACUUGUUACAACAAGGAAAGCUCUUUAACCCUAUGUCACUUUACAACAAGGAAAGCUCUGUCAAUAAGGAAAUUCAAGUAAGCGUCAGACUCUAAGGGCAAUCAGGCUAUUAUCGGGCUGUCAAUAAGGCAAAUGGAAAGCUCUGUCAACUGUCAAUAAGGCAAUGACAAGUCCCUAUUUCGAAUUCAUUAGUUGUCUGCCAUUACCAAGUCCUGUUUUUUAGAGUUAUAAACGAGUCUUUCUUUUGGGCGGUAGGGCAGCUCUUCCACCACCACUCAAAUGAUAGGGAAAUUCUCAUAUUAACUCAGAAACUGUCCUUGCAAAGCUUUUUGGCCACUAAUCCUAUUCUUUGCGCUCUUCCUAUAGGUGGUGCACCAUCUUAAACAAGCUUAAGGCGCUAAGGUAAAGCCUAGUGAAAGGAAUAGAAUAGCUCCGCUGGUCGAUUAAGAAGAUGGGACAAUCAGUUGAGUGACUUUCUUCUAUAACAGGGGCACCUACAUUCAACAAGUCCCUUUUUCGGCUAACAUGAGCGGGACCGGACCUAUCUAUAGUCAAAGGUGAAAGUGUUAUAACUCACUGCCGCUCAACGAAAACGGAAAUUGUAUGCUCUCUUGCACCACUACUAGGUAAAGUAAGGUCAAACUUGAUAUAUCUCCUCGUAAAGUAAGGUCAAACUUGAUAUAUCUCCUCCCUAAGACUGGAAUUGACUAACAUUCUCCCAAACAAACACCUAGGUUAAUGCAAGUAGCAAGUCCGUAAUUGACAACUAUAAUGGUGCCCAUCUUGAAUCGUAUAUAAUGGUGCCCAUCUUGAAUAGUAUAUGUUGGUGCCCAUCUUGAAUAGUAUAUGUUGGUGCCCAUCUUGAAUAGUAUAUAAUGGUGUCCAUCUUUCUCUCUAAUUUACUACUAUUACUAUGUUGGUUCCUAUCUUGAAUACCGGUAUACCUUUUUGCUAAGUCAUUCUCUUGCUAUAUGAGGUCAGCUUUAGUGUAUGUAUUUGGAUGUUAAUAUUCCAUUCCGUAAUAUGAGUUAGGUACAAGUGUGCUAUUAGUUGUGGAUCAUUUAUGGCAACGAUGGGGUGUGGGCUCGGUGUUAUUAAUUUACGUAUAGUUCGGGUUCCAAUAAGUAAGUGAAAGGCGUGGGGGUCAAUAAGAACUUUGCUAAGGGUGCGUGCGCCUAUACCUAAUGUUUUGAGUGGGUUCAAUAAUAAAGUCGAUUUGGAUAACGGUUCCGAUAUGUGAUUCUAGUUCAGAGCGUGAUCGGGCAAGGGAUUAUUCAUCAUUUCAUAUAUAUAUAGGACUUCUAUUUUAGGGUUCGGUUCAAUCUUUGAUAACAAACAGUGCCUAUCGCUAUUGCCUCAUGUGCGCUUUAACCCUAUCUAUACUCUAACAGGCUGGCUGGCCCUAUCUAUUCUCCCGAUAGGUUAUGUCAAUAAAGUCAGGUACCCUCUUUCUAUUCAAUGCACCUCCUAUUCUUGUUGACAGCUUUACUUUGCUAGCUCGGCUUAGGUUGUUUCUCAAAGAGACUUUAGUUUGGCGCUGCUUGCUCUUCAGCUCGUACUUAAUUGGAAGUCAAUAAUUUCGGUUAGGCUAUGAGGAUCGAUAUAAUCUUAAAGGCGUACGGGAAUUACACUUAGAUGAAGGAAGGUAAAGGAAAGGAGUCUUUUGUAGGAUAACAUAAUCUAAAAGAUACUAUUAGUAGGGAACCAUUACUUCUCUUAUAAUCUUAUUAGUGGGGGUAGGGUACCAUUACUUCUCUUAUAAUCUAUUCGCUAUGGGGAACUAUUCUAAUCUAGACGGUCUGUCAAUAAUCAUAUAGUAUAGAUAAGACGGUCUGUCAAUAAGAAAUAGUAUAGAAAACGCAGCAUACAUUAUGUAUGUUAACCCACGGAGCGGUACCAUUACUUCUCUUAUAUGUGGAAAAUGGAUGACAAUGCUGGAUGGGACUUUCCGUAUAGUAAUAAUAUGGGGCAUUCUCCUAUUCGAGAAAUCUAUCCACACUACACCAACAGGCGGAGCAGCUCCUAGUGCUCUGGCAUUCUCAUCCUCCUGAGAUGGUCUUUCAUAUUAUUGCCCCGCCCUCCCUGUUUCCAAUUAUCAAGCUCCCUUUUUGAAGUCAUUUCUAUCUUGAACGCUUUCUGAACUACGGAUUAUUUUGGGAUUCUUCAGCGGAUUCUGUAACCGCUUUUUCAACCCCUCGGGAAGGACUGUAAGAGAGCAGCCGAUCAGGGCACUAGAUCGUUCUAAAGUCACCUAUGUGUGGAUCUGCUCCUAUAGUCAGUUUACAAUCAUAACCCAACACCCAAAGUCACCUAUGUGCAGAUCUCCUCUGCUCCUAUAGUCAGUUUACAAUCACAACCCAACACCCAGUGCAUUUCUUGCACUUUCGUCUUUGCUUGCCCACUUACCAAUUCCGUUCUUCUUCAAUACAAUAAGAAGAUAGACCAUAUUCCCAUAUAUUCAAUGCUUUCCUUGGCUUUUGAUCUCGUCUCGAGGUUUCCUAUCCUUUGGAUUUCGCGUCCAAGUACGAGCCGGAUUGUGGCAUUAGCCCCCCCUAUUGUGGAAUGGGUUCCAAAUCCGGAUCAAUUCGUUUUUCCUGCUCCAGCUGAGGCUUACUUUCGGGUAAGAGUCAUCAUAGUACCUCCAUCUAUCAAAAUGCCUCUGAAUACUUGAAUCAAUCUCUCUUAAGCACUCUGAGCUGAGGAGUAGCUUCACUCAAAACACCUACUUUACUCAGGAUGUAGAUACGCACGAGCGACUGCCCUCACACGCUCUAAACUAGGAAUCCAUACUUCUCUUUGAUUCUAAUGUCAUUUCUGGGCCUCUUCGCUAAACGGCUUGUUUCAUGUAAGUGUGCACCUGUUCUGUUCCAUAAGUCAGUAACGAAACACCCUUAUGAAGCGCAAAAUACUCUUAUGUAUGGCCAAACUCCAGAAAUGUGGUAAGCUGAUUCCUGGCAACGAGUAUCUUUCUGUUCGCCCUGUUCUACUUUCAAUCCUGAAUCGGACCGGACUAACUAACGCCGGUUGUUUGUUCUUUCGAGCUCACGUUGCUUGUUGAACUAACUAAGGCACUUUCAUUUCCAGUAGAUAAUUCGAAUAGGAAUCGAAUUGUUGUGCACCCAUUAGAGAGGGCACAGUAAGUAACCUAACCUCCGAACGAACUCCACAAGAAGAUCAUUUAGUGCACCUCACCUAGGAGCAGCGCUAAGAAUAAGGUUCUAGUAUCAAGUAGAACAUGCGCUAAAUUACCAUGUCAUCAAUGCGCUAUUAGUACGAGUCAGAAGCGAGUCUUGUUUUCGUUCCUUUCUCAUUACAAUUCCUGUUUUUGGCUCCCGUUAUGAGUAAGUCCUAAUUCUUCCUUUUUUCGUUUUAGGAGCGAGUCUAGAUUGAUAGGUUAAGCGCAAGUCAACUAUACCAGUUAUAGAAUGGGGUAACAAAAGAGAUAGGUGGAGAGUGGUUUGCGGGGUGCUUAGGAGUUAGCUUGUGUGUUGAGUCACAAGAUCCGUUUUAGGUUACUUGUAGGGCAAAGGAGAUCGAAAAAAGGCGAUAAAAGGAUUCUACUAAGCUUGCCUACUUUCUAUGUGCUCGUAGCGAAUGACUAUAAGGCCGGGCUCAAAGGAGUGUCCGUCCUGUGACAACCUUUCUAUACAAUGCCAGUUCCAUAUUCUUUUGUUUCAACUGAUCCUGACUUUUCAUCUACAAAAGCUUCUGGUCUUGCUGAUGGUCUCGUCGACAUUCACUUUGGGCAACCCUCACUUUCGCUAACACACAAGAAACUUGACUUUCCAUUCCUUUACUUCCCGCUUCUUAUCCUGCUGAUGAAACUGCUGAUUAAGAUCUGUCUCUUGAAACGAUAACUCCACUUGAAGACCCGCCCGCCACCAAGUCAAAGUCAAACGGAAUGAUGAAUGGAAAUGGAAUUGAUGCCCUACGCUCCAAUAAGAGAAGUGUUCGCGGUACUUGUUGAAUGGAAAUUGGACUAUCUUGCAUCACCAACUCUGUUAUUCUUAUUUCUUAUAUAUAUAUCUAUAUGAAACUCCCUUAUUUAUUGUUGAUUCUUCGAGACAAACAGCUUCAUAUCGUGCUCUUCUGGUUAUAAUCCUUCUUUUGCUUAGCGAGUCGAUUCCACUCAAAAAGUGCAAUUCCCGGUUGCGCUACUUCUCACUCAACUCUCCCUCUGUGCUUUAAUAAGCAGGGUUCCUAACUCAAUUCAACAAUAUGCAAAUUAGGCGCUUUCAGCACCUUUAUUUACUAUUUCUUGUAUCGGGUCUGUGUCAGGGGUGAAUUCUGAAGUUUGGGAUCGGCCUUUGACUUUUCUCGUUUUCCGUCUUCCAUUUGUUUACUCUCCACGACGCACUCGCUUCAAUUGACUACUUUUACCACUACUCUACAAGGGAAAGCCAGCCAAGUUCAAGCAAAUAACUCAACUCCAAGACUACAAAGGUAAAGAACAAAACUGGAAUUUCCAACUGAUAAGGAUGAAAAAAGGGCUACUAUUGGAUUGGGGUCCUAUCCUAAAGUAGGAACUAAACUAUCUUAGCGCCAACCUAUACAGCUUACUUGAGCCCGCCUCGCACAGAACAAGCUAGAAAUCAUUCCAUUUCUCUAUCUUGCCCCAACUUAUAUAAUAGCUUCCUUUCCUUACUUUUCAUAUUAUUUUCUAUUUGAUUCCGUGGGCCUCCUGUCUGACUUUCUCUAUUUGUUAAUGGGAAGCAAGCGGUGGGGCAUUAGUUGAUCUAUACGAUAGACCCCGGACGUAGCUUAAAGGUGAACCGGGUAACCACAGAACAAAAGGAAGUUAGCAGGGAUUGUAUUCAUCAAACAGAGGUGCUGGUUCGAAUCCAGCUUGUGAUAAUACCUUUCUUUGGUCAUGCUCAAAUAUAGAAUGGAUAUUUACCAGAAAGAUGAUUCGAUGCUUAUUAUAGGAUUAAUUAGAUUAACUGACUCCACACCUAGGAUUAAUUAGAUUAACUGACUCCACCGGCUCCUUCUCAGCCUUAAAGUAUCUGAGCUGAUGAAAUAGCCGUUAUGUAUUCUUUAUUGAUUUUACCACCAGCAGCGGAGAGGAAAGUAACCAAGAAAAUAAGCAGUUUCAAGUCGAGUGAGGGAUGCGCAUACGCCUAUUUGUUCUUUUCGGGAUGCGCUAACGAGAUACGAGUUCCGAGUUACUGACUAAGUAGGCUAAGCUAACAGGAGUGGAUCUGGAGUAGCUUGGCUUGGAUCCUUAACAUUCCUAAUUGUAGGACUGUGUAAGUCAGCUCAAAGAGGGAGUGUCAUCGGUCUCUUCUCUUGUUCUAGUCCCUUCGCUUCGGUCUUUAAACAAGGGAUAGUUAUCCUCCAAAGCAAAUAUACAAUCAUUGAGGAAUGACACUAGGAUCUCCUCUCUUGUUCUAGUCGCCUUUGGUCUUUAAACAAGGGAUAGUUAUCCUCCAAAGAUACACUCAUUGAGGAAUAUACUAGGAUCUAAUACUUGGCUAUCUCCUAAUUGGCUAUCUCCUACUGUCUAUCUAAUACUUGUCCAUCUCCUAUCCUAAUGGGCGGCUAUUUCCUACUGUCUAUCUCCUACUGUCUAUCUUAUACUGUCUAUCUCCUACUAGCAAUAUAGUCGUAGCUUUUCGUGUGCUGUGUUAUUUGAUGAAGUCAGACUUGUUGGUAUUUGAGAGCACUCUUACUGAGUGUACCAAGGCGGUGAUUGUACAGUAUAGUGGCCUUCGACUCGAUUUUGACACAGCUUGCUUCGAUAGUGUAAGGGGCAUGCAUCUAGUUCAUAAGCAAGCAAGGGUUUACUAUGUUUCAGCUUGCUUGUAGUGAUCUAUGCAACUAAAUAGAGAAGUCUCCGAUCGUAGCGAGAUAAGCCAAUAGCCCUUCCUUCAUUGCGGGCGUGUCCCCGCGGAAUCCUAGUCUAAGGCAGCGAAAACAGUAGGAUGGUUUUGAAUCGAGCCUCCACUGGCGAAUGGUGUAUACGGAACGAAGUAGCAGAGACUCAGGUGCCCCCGGCCUCCAAGGCAUGAAGCUCUGACUCAGCUAUCCAAGUAGAGGCAGUAAGGAGUAGAGUCCUAGAGAAUAUGCUAUAUCCAAUAGGACACACGCUCCACGAUGAUAUGAGAUAGCGAGCUAACUAGGGUUCAACUACUCUUAGUAAGAAGACCUAACAUAUUGAUAUUCGAAUAUUUCCUCCGGUAGCUAGCAUAGUAGGGUAUGUGUUAAUUAAUGUCAGUGUGUGUUGUGACGGGCCCGGGGAAAAGAAAAGGAAGUAUUGCUAUGGCUGGUGGCAAUGAAAUGGCAUUUGAGGGGCGAUAGAGAAGCAUGGCCUAAUAAUGCAGAAGGGUCCAAACAUGAUUGGCAAGUCCCCCUGCCUGAGAAAACUCUAGCUCAUAAGUCAUGGUCGGCCACUGGUUCUGUCAGAGCUGCGUAAUCUCGCUUACCUAUAGGGUUCAUCCACAAAUAGAAACUCUGAUCUCCCUACGUUCGCUCCGCCCCCCACCUUACAUCUUCUUACCCCGCACCAAAGGUCUUUAUCCUGUUGUAGCCGAUAUCUCAUGUAAUAUCCUAGCUCCGCUCCUGGCUUCGGGUCGAGCGUAAGCCCUCUCUUUCAUUCGUGAACAAUGCCGAACAUUGCUUUAAGAACUCCGCUAGGCAUUAGAGAUUUGAGGCACCAGCUUCUCUUCUACUUGCUUAUUGAUCCGAACCCAACACUUUAGAAGGAAAGAGGCAGACUGCUUACUCUCUUGGGGCUAAGGCAAACUUAUAACGCACCCCGAAAGCGAACAUUAGCACAAUAGUUCUGUUGCUUCCUUUCUUUCUAGGUGACUUUCUACGAGAUACUUGACUUAGAGCUGUGGGGCCAGUGUUACUUACAAUACUGCAUGCUGCCCAAUUCACAUAAGCACCCCUUGCCAAGCUACUACGGAAGGUAUAAAACUCAGGAUCCAAAGUCUAGUUCUCCGAUAACUAAACAUAUAAGUAUUUGGAAUAGUUACUUGGCCAGUGUUUUCUCUUGAUUUCUUCUAUUCUAUUUCCAGUAGCUGUAGUAUUCUAUUCUAUUUCCAGGAGUCAGUAUCUUUUUGUGAUUCUCUUCUAUUUAUUCUCUUCUUUUUCUAGUUUCAUAUGCCUAACCUCUUUUUGUCUUGCUCCAUUGAUUCCUUUGAUAGCUUUCGGGAAUUCUCCACUACAUCUAGACUUCCAUUUCUCCCCCACGUUUCAAUCUGUACCUUUCAAACCAAACCCUGGACUUAUUGAUUUUGAUCCCACUCACGUUCGUUUGCGCUGCGCCGCUGGGCUCACUAGACCUGAGGAUCUUCAAGAGAGAGAGAGAGGAUGCCGGCUUUGCUUACUCAACUCUUCUUUUCUAGUCAUACUUGAACUCUGGCUUCAGGCGGUGGCCCAGACGUAAUGGAGAUUAUCUCUGAAUAAAGGGUACUAAAGCAAUGAAUGCACGGAGUAGAAUAAGGGAGUCGAUUAGCAAUGAAUGCACGGAGUAGAAUAAGGGAGUCGAUUCUCGAACGAAGAAAGAAAAGGAUACAUGUGUUUGUUUUGUUGACUUCGAAAGAAUUGAACGAGAUGGAAGAGCCGUAUAAGGUGAGGCACGCCCUUCUUCCUCAUGUGAGUAAGUCUAACUCGCACAUCGGUCAAAGCGAUGUCAUCGUUGUGGUAUCUGCUUGUUCCUUCUUCUGAUACAUAGCCCGCUCAUUCUUCUUCUCGAGUCGACUUUCAUUGCUGCUCCGCUGACUCCUUACUUGAAGCUCAAGCUAACUGACUCAACAAGGAAGCAAAGCCAUGAGGAUAGAUAGUUUGGUUACUAUACUUAUACAAUGUGUGAGUUCAACUCUUUUCAACAGGUAACGGCGCUAGUGAGUUAAGUCAGUCUUGAUACAAUGCUCCAUUUUUCAUAUCUGAGUGGAUAGCUGGAUUCAAUAAAAUAAGUGAGGGCAGGGCGUUCCGCUAAGGCUUACUUUAUUUGGUGCUUACAUUCAUUCUUUCGCACAACAUCUUGCUAAACAAGAGCACCUGAAACAAUACUCGAAACUGCUCCAUCUGUGGCUGGGCUUCUGCGCUAAAAGAAGAAAUCACUUGUUCUGUCCUAUUGACUAAUAAUAUAAUAUACGAGAACCUAUGUGACUCGAAAGAAGCCUAUUCUUCCGCCUCUACCUUAUGUAGAACUCAUUAAUAAUAUAUCAGGCAAACUACUUAUAUAAGACUCAUUUGUUCCCUUUCACUCUAAUACAAGGAAAGAGCCCCCCUAUCUCUUAUAUUUCAUGAAAAUAGACUCUCAAUUCAGUACUUGGAAAUAGCUACCCGUAACUUAGGACUUGGAAAUAGCUACCCAAAGAAAAUACACUUGAGAAUAGAACACCAGAUACCACGCCCCUAACUAUAGUCAAAAGCGUUAGCGCCACAGCUUGUUGAAUUGAUACUGCCUCCCUCCAGCUUAUUCAGUAAUGUGAGCUUUGUAAGGAGUGUCGUUUUUCAUUCUAUAUUCGUUACGCUAGAUUAAUUCCGCAGUCUAGAUUCAUUCCUAUGUGUAUAGUAAGUAUCACUGGCCCACUUAUUGUUAAUUGUUGUGUUGCUGCGCUUAUAGUAAGUAUCACUGGAUUGUUGUGUUGCUGCGCUUAUAGUAAGUAUCACUGGCCCACUUAUUGUUAAUUAUUGUUAAUGUUUGCUCAAGCAGUAGAAAGUAGAGUAUCUCGCAGCUCGAAGUAAAGUAGAUAGUGUAAAGUUGCAAGACCAAACUGAUCCCCUACUAUACUUGCUCCAAGCAAAGAAGUACUACUAACGGAAAUGAGAUUAUGUUCUGUGCAGUAAGCAGUGCUGUCUUACCCGACCCUCUUUCUUCUAUAAUCGAAUGUGUCCCCACCCUAACCCUAAGAUCAGGAGUUAUGUUACUAUGCUUCUAUCAGUGGUGUCUCAUAUAAUCAAUGAAUGGUUGACUUCGGCCCUACUUUACUUAGGUGCUCAAGCAGUAGAAAGUCAAGUCUAUCGUAAGGAGUUCUCUCAAGCAGUCUAAGGUAACGGUAUCAAUCAAUUAGUUGCUCAAGCAGUAGAAAGUGUAGUUGCUCAAGCAGUAGAAAGUGUAUUUUCCAGAGGGGAGUAUAUUGAUUGUCCAUUUGAAGUCAUGUUCUAAUAUUGGAAGUUAUGUUAUUAUUUGGCACUAUAUUCUAUUCAUUAGGGAAUUUACACUAUAUUCUAUUCAUUAGGGAAUUGGGUUCAAGCUUUCCCCAGCCCCUUUUCAUCAAUGGACUCCUAAAUCAAUCAAUAGUAUACGAAGCAGUGGUUGGUUACUAUUAUAAGAUGUCAAUACUUCUCAAUAUACAAUUAUUAUAGAAGAUGUCAAUACUUUGCUUAGUCAAUAAAUCCAUAUUUGAGAGCGUUUUUACACAUAAGGAAAUAAAGUCACACACGAUAUAAUCAUUAUCUAACCAAACUCACUUAUUACUCUAAAGAAGAGAAUGGUUGUUAGUACCCCGCCUCUUAAGAAUAGAAUGGUUAGUACCGGUACCAAUAUCACCUAUCUACCAGAAUGUCGGCACCCAAAGCAAAGCAAAGAGACUCCACUAGGACUUCACCGGUACCAAUAGAACCUACCUACCGUCGUCACCCAAAGCAACUAGGACUUCUAAUUUGACUGAUGGAGGAGAUGCCUUUUCUCUAAUUCAUAUGAUGGAACCCACUUAUUUCUAUAUAGCAUAAGGAGAAGAAUUGACGAGCGAAAUCAAGUAGAUAGAGCCUACGAGAGAUUCUGUACUUCCUGUUGAGAGAGCUAGUAAACAAGUCAACUCGUAACUACUAUUCUUUAAUGAAUUCUAUGUGCGCUACUAUGCUUUAAGAGAUCUAGAUUCUAUUAGAUGUGGAUUGCGGGCUACUAUGCUUUAAUGGAAUCCAUUCUAUGUGCGCUACAAUUCAGAAAUCAAUAGAUCCAGUUGUGUCUACUUGUGGUGUGCAUGACCCGAACGACCACCUGAUGGGCAAGUGCUUUCAUGAAUGAAUGUGUUAAACCAAUCAAUCUUUUCGUUACAUAUCAGGAAACCUGCCCCAGCUAACUCGAUUUCCCUAAUAAAAGAGAGAGAGGGCGUUCCAUAUGGAGCUCCUGAAGAAAGGACGAUGAUACCUUUGGUAGGCAUUGGGGGUAUCCUGGAUGAUACCUUUCCUAUUUCGUUGGAAGUAAUCAGGAAGAUUCCUCUUUUUAUAUGCCUACAUGACCGCCGAUCGUGGGAAGAUGGAAAUCCCAACUAGAGUCGCCUUGCCGAUAAAAUGCUAUUGGAUACCAUAUGUGUCGAGAUUCCGUUUGGGUCUACUCUCACUUUCCGCUGACGCCCCUUAACGCCAUUCAUUUUUUCAUCGUAAAUACCCUGCGAAACCUAAACUACGUAACAGGGCUGAUAUAUGUAAUACUAUGUUCCUUUUUCAAUCCAAAGUCGUGGUUAUCAAACUCUUCAUCGAAUGAAAAGUGAUCACACUCGGAUAGCAUUUACCGUGAAAGGGCUAAGACUUUAGGAGGGGGCCCCGCAACAAGGAAUGUAAAAAAACUACCAACUCGGGGGAACUUCCAAAGUAUUCCUUGCUGGCAAAGAGAUAAGGCUGCUAACAUAACAGAUCAAAGCCUAUAUCCGUUGAACAUUGCUUUAAAUAAAUGAAGCCGGCUCUAGCCCUGGACCAUAUGGAUUACUUCACCCGUACCUGAGUCAGAGGUAUUUCGAAUUUAGAGACAGACACACUUUCUUGCGAUCAAAUAUCUAAUAGAACUUGAACCCACUUAUAGUAGAUCCCCAUACAUUUGCCUUACACUGGCUUACAACAGGGAGGAACUGGCCAAUAGAGCUCACUCCUAUGGACUUAUCAUAAUUUCUACUUUCCAAGUCUCUCCCACGCGUAGAUCCAAAGGGGAAGAAAGCCAGGGAAUAGUCUAACUUCCUUAACCAGAGAUUCGAUUAUUCCGCCAGACUGCUUGGACCUAGAAUCUCCUUUUUGUUGACCUAUCCCUACUUUGGAAAGAGAAAGAUAUGACCGGCCCCACCAAUCACCUAUGUAUAGCCUACAACUCUUAGACUAGCUUUAGCCUACCACUCUUAGACUAGCUUGGAAAGACUCCUUCCUUCAAAAGUCACUCGCUUUAUUACUGGAUAGAAGCAAAAAGGAGCAGAACCGGAUGAAAGCACAGCACAUGGACCUAGCUUGCAGGAAAAAGAUGGAACGGAAAUUGGCUCGAAGAAGACCUCUUUCGAUCGAAUCUGUAUCUGGAUAGGCAGGCUAGAGGGAUUCUAUGGUUUUUUAGACUCAAGGAUAUUUCCAAAUACAAUAUCUUAGCAGCUUUCAAAAAGCACUUUAUUACAAAAACAAUAGCGAGACGGAGACAGUUGGUCUAGAGACUACCUUAUUUCUGAAAUGGAAAGAAUAGGAAUUAGCAAUUCCAUUGGGUAGGCAGCUUCUCAGAGGACUCAAACUGGCUGGGCAAAGUGUAGGAUUGAAAUGGAAACUAGAUAGAUGGGCUUGGAAUUGAAACUCCAACGCGCUCACCCGGAUAAGAGAAAAGAAAAGGCCUGGGAAUUAGCGCGGAAAGUCCGGAGGCUUCACUUCUCCCCAUGGAUAUAGCGGGAAACGACAACUUUACAAAGCUGUAAAAGAAGCUUGCAACGGCUCGCAAGGACCAAAAGCAAACGGAACUAUAACUUGAAUUGCAUCUAUCAAAAAGGAUGGGCCCGCAAGAGAACUAAAAGAACCUGGCGGGGAACUUGAAAUAGCUAACGAAUGAAGAGAGAAAGAUAGAGGAGAGCUUAGUUACUGCAUUGUAUGUAAACGUAUUUACGGAAAGUCCUGUAUCAGAGAACGGGCCACGCAGACAAGACGGCGCCAAGUCGACAAGCAACAACAAGAGUCCGCCUUGGCCUUAGCGCUUCCAAGCCUGUAAGAGAAUCUUCCCUUACCUUAGCAGCAACGCCAGUACCUAAUCCCUCACCUGCUCGGGCAAUAAAGGACUCCAAAUCUGGGUUAACGAAGAGCGGUCAAGUAUCUCGGAACAGAGGGAGGCUCAAGCUAGAUGCUCCGGAGUUUUCGUAGCAUUAAGGGAAAGGACAAGAUCCGAUGAAGCAACAAGCGGUGGUGCCAGAGAACAAGAUAAGAGUUUUAGGGGUUCGUUUUUCUAGAAUUGUUGUAAUCAUAAGCACUUAGAUGCAACAAGUAGAGUCGGAACGGAAAGAAAAGAUUGGAAUUGGAAUGGUUCGCCACUUAACCAAAAGAAGCUUCCGCCGUUGCUAUAAGAAAAGAAUAGUGAAUCAGAGAGAAGCAUAGUUACUACACUGCUGACUUAAAAGUAAGGGUUAGCUAAGUGGGAAAUGAGUGGAAAGAGAAGAGCGGGAUCAAUCAGGUAAGCGUCGCGGGACGGGAAAGAAAUAAGCUCUAUAUUAACCCCGAGAAAGUUAGUAGCUGGCUCACUAACGCUGAUUUGGAGUAACUCGCUAACGGAGCCCUAAACAAGUAUACUAUAGGAUUGUGAAUCUCAUGCUCAUGUACGCUCUGCUGCUACAUCUCAUGCAUCCUCUGCUAUUACAUCUCAUGCACCUUCUAUUUCUUUCUAUAUCUAUUCCAAAGGGGUGUCUUAAGUGUUACAGUCAGAAGUCACUCCUCUUUCUUUCUCGCUUCCGAAGCCCAUAAUCCUACAAGGCAAUCAGUGACGUGUCUUAGUUUCGAAGUUUCUCAGUCAAGGGAAAUACUUUCUGCUCGAAGUAUCGAAGUAAAGUCCCUUCUUUAUGCACAUACAUAUACAUAGCCAGACACAAAGGUGUACAAUCCGGUGAAAUUAGACUUGAAGUGUUCAGUAACUAUAGGUUCUAUUACUUGCUCUAGUGACCGGGCCAACCGAUAGGGGAGAACGAAUGGCUCAGGAAUCGACUGGUUCCGAGUAGACUCGUGGAGCUACACAGCUUGGAUUAUUUUCGAAUAUAUAUAAUAAGAGGAGCCGAGCUAAAUGACUUAAAAGAAAAGAGCCGCUGCGAGGCGAGGGGGGGCGUAGAGAGGUCGGUGCACUCACUCCCGUUACGAGAAUGAAAUGACGCGCCACGAGCACUUACAACUCGCACGAAUAGCGCCACUUAGUGGCCGGAGAUGGAUUGAAAAGGAAGCCCACCCCCCUUUUUGGAUUGUGAGAAAGAGCACACAGGACCUUACCCACUAAUCAUCAUCUCAUCUUAGCGAAGCAUAAAACAAACCCACUAAUCAUCAUCUCAUCUUAGCGAAGCAUAAAGAAGCUCCCCCCGCCUACCUACUCGUGUUCGUAGCUCGAUCGGAGGUCAAGAGUGUGGCGGAAAAAAAGAGGUAGUCCGUAUCAAGUGAGACGUGAAUUGCUCAGUAGUGCUUCGCCACUGGACGUUGACCCGCAGGCGGAAAUAGCUUAAUGGUAGAGAUAGCCUUGCCAAGGCAGAGGUUUAGGGUGAAAUUCCCUCCUUCCGUUCCUGGCUUCGUCCUUUAGUGGUAUAGAGUUGAGUGCAUAAGCCCCUUUCUACAAACCUUUAUAUAAUAUAAGGGAAACUCGAAGAGCUUUCUUCGCAUGCUCCUGCAGUACGAGCCUCAUAGCCGCGCUUUAAUAUGAUGAGAAGAAGAGGGGCUCCUUAUAUUCCGAGAAGAAGAGGGGCUCUUUCUAUUCCGCGAAAAUCCUUAUUUACAUCUUAUGGGGGGUGUAUAGCUCAGUUGGUAGAGCAUUGGGCUUUUAACCUAAUGGUCGCAGGUUCAAGUCCUGCUAUACCCAAACCUACCUUACACUAUACAAUGAGUAUGAGUAAGGAUGCGUUCAAAGAGAACUCUUUUGCCUUUGGACUCGCUUCGGCGACUUCGCCCUUUCAGUGACAAGGGUUGUGAGGUAAGGAGUAGUUCCAAGAGUGGCUCGGUCAUCGAUAGGCCCAUCCUUAUUAAUUCUCUCUAUAGGGCAGGCGCUCCCUACCUCUCGCAUUUACUUAUCUUCAUUCUUUUUUCGCCAAGGUAGGUGAUCGGCCUUACUUUUCUAGAAGGAGUGGAGUAUCUUCCAGUAACGGCGAACAGGGGUCCCGCCUGGAUUUCCUUUUUCGUUUAUUUUCUUAUUUCCUCGAAUAUGGAACUUUCGCCCUCCUCCUUGGUGCUCCGCCAUGGUUCCAGCAUGUGAUUAGUGAUUAACUCCAUUGCUUCAUCACCUGAUAGACACCUAAACAGAAUUCCCGGUAUGCCUCUUUUGAAUAGCUUACCAUCAUGCACUAUAUACCUUUUGACCAUCUUCUUGAGAAAGUGCCUUUUGUCCGAUACUCAAUAGAUAUUAUGGCUGUCUCCAAUCCACUAAUGGAUAAAGGAACAUUCUGAUCAAUCGGGGGCAUCCAUGUGCACUGAUUGCUUUAGUUCUUGAAUCACAGCAUGUCUCCCAUCUCCUUCUUUAAUGACAUCUGAAUAUAGCUUAUCGUGAAAGUUCCAUGUAGCUGAGCAGGAGUUCGUCGCUUGCGGAUCUUCUCAUUAUCUUCGCACUUUUCUCUUUGAAGCUAGAGUUGCCAAAGAAUCCGGUAUAUAUGCACAAACUUUCCCUUUCUCGCUUUUGGAGUUCCCAAUUCUAUGUAAAAUUCUGACAGCUGUAACAACCAUUGCGCUGUCCUUCCCGAUGGGGCUGGCCUUGACAGCAAGUACCUUAUCUGAUUAGCCCCCACAACCAACUUUCUCUUGUGCACCAGCAUAUAAUGUCUGAACUUUCUUUUGGGCUGCAUAUACUCAAAAGAUGUAAGCGCUUUUUUCUCUGCUUUAGUGUAUCUCGCUUCCGCUUCUUUGAGAAUUAUACUAGCAUAGUCGAUUGUUGGCUUUUCUUAACCAUUUUGAUCAUCCUGUGCUAGCACUCUAUUCCGAUAAGCAUUAUCAUUGAAAUGAAAACAAGAUAUAGCGUAAAGUGCCUUACCAGCUAUUGGAGCCAUCAUCACUGGGGCGUUCGCUAAGGUCUCCUGUCUUUUGGAAAAGGCUUGCGGACAAGUAGCAGAAUCUUGUCAAUAUGCCUCUUACCAUUUGGACUCUACCUUUUUCUCUUUGGCAAUUCAAUAAGAGGGGCGGAACAGAAAAGGCAGCUAACCGCGUUGUGAUGAAAUCAAUGUUUGCCUUCAAGCGUUAAGUAUUGCCCACUUAUGGUUAAUAGCAAGUUGAGUAUAGAAUUGAUUGGUAAUUAGACAGAGGCAGAGCAGACUAAGCACUAUAAGGACAGAGGCAGUCUAAAGGGGCUGGCUUAUGCACUCCACUCGUUACCACUAGCAGCAUAGACACCGUUAUCAAGGACAGAGGCAGUGGCAUAGACACCGUUAUCCAAGUGAAAAGCAUAGAAAGAGACAGCAGACAAGCAUCUCCUCAAUCAGUUCCGUAAUAUCUAUUUCUUGGAUUUCUCUAUUAUGAGUUAAGUAAUAAGUGAGUUUAGUGUUUGUUUACUUAUAGAUAUAAGUGUGUGUCAUCAACGGAAUUUCUUAUGGUUGUGUUUAUUACAUUGCUUGUUGACUUUCAUUACUCAUAUCGGCAUAAUAAUCCUAUACGAUAAGUACAUAGGCAUAGGUACCGUUAUCUAUAUUAUAUGAGACCGACUGAACUUCCCGUGUAGUGACAGCUUCUUACUAUUCUACUAUAUACUUAAUUGGACUAUUCUACUAUAUACUUAAUGGAGCUCCCGAUAAACAGUUUCGUUUAACUAGACUAGAUGAUUCUUCUUGCUACAACAGUUGGACCUGUAGCGCCAGUAAGAUAAUAUUUCUUCCCGCACCACACCGAAGCAGUUCCUUGUAAGAUCCAGCAGGUAGAAAAAAGAAUACUACUUUCAAUCAGGUUCCCCACAGUAGAAAGUAUGUCCUCAAGAUGCAUCGACUGAUACUAUGAUUGUCGGAGAGGUAUUGUCUUAAUCAAAGCAUUGAUUGUGUUCACCACUCUCCUUUCUUUGACGGCGGGUUUCAGGGCACUACCAAGCAUUAGCCCAAGAGAAGCGAUAUCGCAAACAAACUUAUAGCAUUUCCGGGCGAGGGCAACCACACUCUUCGUUUCUAGAAAUGGGGAACAGCAUCGCUUGAUUAAAGGAGUUAGAAUAGAAUAGGUCUAGAGAUCUGUGCCACUUUCUGGUCUGUCUGUUCCUCUGUAUCAAGCCCGUAGCCGUGCAGCCUGAAGCCUGUCUAAUCUUCUCUUUCUCGCAAGCUUCAAAGAUUCGAAAAGGAACUAAAUUGACUGAUUGAAUGGUGGAAUGGACAUCCCAUGUCUUCUUGAUCAAAGUAUGUUGUCAGAAGAAUUGAGACUUUCUCAGUGGCAUAAGCCGAAGUAGAAGCAUUAGCGUACCCAACGUACAAGACGGAUGCCGAGGCAAGAAACCCCGAAAACGCUAUUCCUGAAGGAAAUGUGCCUUCCACCUUUAGAUACCAGGAAAGGGUAGACGAAAGAAAGAAGGUAUCAGGGAGUGUGAAGACAUCGGUUGAAGCGCUUCGUUUACAGACGAAAUAAGUUGCAAGCAAGACUACGGGACUAAAGAAUAGAAUCCAUUUCUCUUUAUCACAUCACGGGGCUUGUCUAUCGAUCUUAGUCUUAGAUAAAUGGGUGGUAGCCACUACGUCAAGAGCAAAUCUCUAAUCUAUAGAGAUGUAGAAAGAGAAGAUUGCCUUUUCCUCGGUGAGUUGAAGGGACUCCUUCGUUGAAACCAGACCUCCACUUUUCUCUUUAGAAACAAGUAGCACUUUACAGAUAUAGAGUUUUCAGAUCUUAUUUGUAUUAAUGAGCUUACUAGUAUAUUAAUAGUGAUCUUGUAGGAGUGUGAGUUAUUAUAUUCCUUGUAUUCCUAUUAGGUUAUUAUAUUCCUUUGUAUUCCUAUUGCAGCUGAUUUGCGUAUACGAGGUUUAGUUUGAUUCUUUUCUUUUGCUCUGGACGAAGCAAUUCUAUAUGAUUUCCUUUUGCGCCAGUAAAACCCCAUGAUGAGCCUAGUUCACGCUCCACCAGAUGUGAGACUUGUCGACGAGUCUAGUAUACGCUUGGUUGCUCCUCUAAGAAGGGAGUUACGUUACCGCCUAUAACUGAUGCUAUAUAUCUAUCCAGAAAGAAGGAAUGCACCCAAACCUCUACACCUAUAAACUCUCUACUUCGAUUUAAGAACCGAAAUAAGGAAGUAUCACCUUAACCUGAACCUCAGGAAACUUAUACUUAAACAUUCGAAUCUAUUCUAUUCUAUUUGCUACAGCGGGACAAGAAAGACAUUCUCUAAGACAACACCUAACUCGACUAGAUUCUUUCCUUCAAAGCGAAAACAAGUACUAUCUUAUUACCGGAAUCCAACAAGUUGCGGAUCAGUGUAUUUACACUUUACCUAGUGCCUUCGAUACGAAAGAUUUCAUUAAAGAUUAGUUGACUCGGUCCGGUCCUCGGCGCAAGGCAAGACUCAGUGCGUUAGGAUCAGUGAGCAGCUCAAUUCCCAUUAUAUAUGAGGUGCACCAGAGAUGGAUUCAAUUCAAACUUGAGAGUUUCGGUCGGGCAAGACGAACAAAGUAACAGGGCGAGGGCAGUAAAGCAAGGGUUUUGAGGUCGUUAGUUUCAGUUUGAAAGUCAGGCAAUAGGGUUUGGGCUACUGCUGAAUAUAAGGGCCCUUGUAUACUCUUAUGAUUCUUCCUUAUCCGAAAAAGUAGUAGAGCAACUGAAGUAGCAAAGCAAGAAUCGGAAAUCACAAAUAUAGUAUAUGUUAGUACGUUGCCAUGAACAAGUCCUGUAUUCAUCUGUCCGGGCCGGGGUAGCCAAUGCCCCUUGGGUAGCAAGUAGUGGUCAAGUUUCAGAAGAGAUGACUGACUCUAAGGUCUAUAGGUAACCAACCCUAGGCAUUAUAUCAAUAGGUAACUCUAAGACUAGGAUUCCACUGGGGAUGAAACUAUAACAAUUAUAAAGAUAGAAUGAAUUCAUAUUGAUUUCUUAUACAUAGCAGUCCGGGUAGGGAACUAAGGUAUUCUUGCCAGCCAACACUCUCACCUCCCUCUCGCACAGGAAUGGAAUAGAAAACUCUCUGCCACCUGAUCGGUCUGUAACAAAGCAAGACUCCCUUACAUUACCCAUUAGGAAAGAGAUUCAUUCCUCUAACGGAAAUCGAUUCAUGAUGGCGACUCCCUACUCUGAUAAUUCCUACAGCUGUAGCGAGCUCCAACCAACUGCUUCUGUCGUUCUGUGCCGAACCACACGAGAUAGAGAAAGAAUGCAAAGGUAAGAUGUCACGUCACCACAUUAUUGACUGCUCGAUUAGUAACAUAUUCUAUAAUUUAUGAAAAACAGAGCCAAUACAGAAUGAAAUCCCCUCUUUCCUUUUCCUACUCGCUUGUGAUAAGGACAGAAAGGGGUCAAGUAAAAGUAUAAGGAAGCACUCAGAAAGUGGCAGUCCGCAGGAAGAACUUAUGGUACUUAGUUCAGGUUUAUUGACCUUUAUUUGUCUCCGUUAGCGUUUCACUUAACUAUUCCAUGAUUCUAUUCUGUCUUUCUAAGGGGUUAAAGGAUAAGUAUAGUUGGAAUCGAGAAAGUUCCGGGGAGUUCAUAAUUGCAUUGCAUAAAAGGAGGAUAAGUAGUGGCUGCGGCGCGUCGAGGCACUUCUUCGACGGUCCCCGUCCGCCCUAGGCCCGUAAGGCCGAUCUUUUAGGGCCCAUCUCUAUCUCCCUCUAUCCCAGAAAAGUACUCUAUACUAUAAGAAAGAAGGACAGCUCAGUUCUAUCUAUGAGGUAAAGAUACCUGAUGAAGGCAGAACAUCUAGCUAGAUAAUAGGUUUCCGGGCAGAGCAGCUCGAGGAGGGGCUUCUAUCUCUAUUGAUCGAGCUUAAGUAUAUAGGGGAAAUUGAUGUAUUCCGGGUAGGGUAAAAGGCAGUCAAGUGCUACCGCCGGCUAACCUAGGUAGUGAGCUAUUUAUAGGGAAGGAGUUAUCGAGCGGAUCGAGAACACGGUCUACCAGGGAUAACUCAUUAGCUCAAAAAGUCAUUAGCUAGAUAAGAUAGAAAUACCUUAUGGAGCGUAAGCAUUGGAUAUAAGCGACUCCUAGCAUACCUCAAAAGUGCAGUAGGAUUGUUCUGUGCAUACCUCAAAAGUGCAGUAGGAUUGUUCUGUACGUGGACCAGAUGUAUAAGAACUGGUAAGGCGAUCUCGUCUCCCGAACACCCAUGCUAAUACUGUGUAUGAUAUAGCCCAUUGAAAGCAACUCGGCCACGAUUUUGUCUAUCUAAUCCUGAAUUCGGCUUCCGGUAUGGAUCCGCUAUAAGUAAGAGCGGGAGGACCUUACAACAAUUCAAUGACAUGGUCCUUUGCCUGUUCGGUGGCAAUCCAUUAGGUAGUUUCACUGAAUCCAAAUUCCUAUUUGUGGACUAGCUUUAGUAUUGCUUCUGGUUUAUCCACCCUUCUCUCAGUACUAACAUCUAUGGCCAAUGCCUAUACAUCUUGUCUAAAAUUGUUACUCUGGUACCGCUUCUCGAUCGUGUGAGCAUAGAGAAUUGGAAUUGAAGUGGGUUGGUGGCCCCGUGAUAACCUUCGCAUCCCGAUAGAAAUAGGCUCUUAGCACCUUCAUUUGGAAGGUGACGUCACCCGCAUUCGGCACCCCUGCCCAUAUCACUACAAGAUUGACUCUUCUCAUCAGGAAGGCACGGGAUCGCCAUAUUGGAAAUUGUUGAAAAGCAAGCUGCUGCCCAAGGGGUCCAAAAGUACGCUAUUUGAAGGGUUAAGGCAAUCCUUAUCCCCCAGUAUUUCCUCCCAGGUCGGUGGUGUGGGACUAGUGCAAUCAUUCCCUUCGUUACAGCUCCUUAUUCUUCUUCAUCACCAGGAGUUGAUUCAAUUGCUAAGAAGCCAUUUCCUCAAAGAGCAGGAGUUGAUUCAAUUGCUAAGAAGCCAUUUCCUCAAAGAGUUUCUUCUUUAAGAACAACCAUGGCAUUCGAUGCUUAUUAUAGGGAUGCUUAUUAUAGGAUUCUAAUAUGGAUAACUCACUAUCAACAGGAAAGGGGCAUAUUGUUGGACUAAAGGUGGCAUACUAUUCUAUACGAUGAAUGUGCUGCUAGGAUAUACUUCUGCACUUGAGAACUUAAGCUAGCUGACUGGUACUUGCUUUCCACCCUUGGACUGCUAUCCUUGGCAUGCGUGCUACUGGCCUGGCCCGCCUACGGAACUCCUACUGUCCAGCAACCAAGCAUUCUCUCUAACAAAGUGAGACUGCCUCUUACGAGUGGGUAACCCACCUUCUAAACCAUGCCCCACUAGACUUUAGCCCACUUUGCACUCUGAGUUUUCGUAUCAUCUCAUUGGACUUAUUUCAAACUAACUCGUUACACUCGCACCUGAUUACACGGGAACGAAGAAAACGACACGGGGAGCACGCUUUCACCUGCAAGAACAGAGGGCCCAGACCAACCAAAGACAGAUGGAAUCACAAUACCCAGAAAAAUGAAGUAAGGUAACGAGCCACAGUUGCGACUAAACGAUUGGAAACAUAGCCAGGCAAACAUCAACUAUGAACCCGCAUCGAAGAAUCAACACUCUAUUCAAAUCCAAAAAACAGAAAUCCAAAAUAUCCGAUAUACUCCUGACGCAAGAAAUCCAAAAUAUCCGAUAUACUCCUGACGCACGCGCAAGACGCCAACAAUCAGCUGAAGCAUCAACAAUGUCCCCAUCCAACGAAAAGAAAAUAGAACAUCAAAGAAUAUACUUAAACCCAGAGAGGUCUGCAAGUGGACCAUAUGACCAGUAGGAUUCAUACAUACCAUCAAAAUGCAGAUUAAUGAAUAAGAUAUAUGCAGAUUUCUAGUAUCAAAUGCCCUUGAUUCGCGAGAACCAAUCCGAGAUUUCAAACGCUUUGCUUUCUUUGAUUCUGCAUUCUUGAUUCUAUCUUUUUACGGUGAAUCAAGGCUGACUACUGGAAGAGUGGAUUGAGCCAAUAGAACUUUCUACCGGAAGAGUGGAUUGAGCCAAUAGAACUUUCUACUGCAACUCAAACUAUAGCCGUUGCCACCUUAUGAGAGCCCCUUCACUGAAAGGGAGGUAACCUUCGCAACACUCGCCAUUGGGCAACCUCCGGGCGGGUAUCGGCUUGUUCCAUUCUGAUGUUCUUUUUGUUAUCUAUGAUAUAUCGUGAUCAAAGCAUAAAAUCUCUACUAAUCCAAAAAUAGAAGAAAAAGGAAGACAAACGAGGAGCAUAUUCAAAACUGACAACCGGUAGCUAGCUUCUCUUAUAGCUCUUCCUUUAGCAGCCAGACAGAUGUUACCUUCAGAGUGCGUUAGUUCAGAUAAGGCAAGGUUAGCGCUGCUGUUGGUUGGGGUGCAAACUCGUAGCUUACGUUGGUUGUCUAAAUCCGCCUCUUCUUCUUCUGUCUUUCGCAACGCCCCUUCCUCUUGUUCUCUGGAUGCUUUCCCCGACGCUAUAGGGGUCUUUCUUUGCUACUCGCUUUCGAAGGAUCUUCCUUAACAUUUCUCAUUCUGGCCAUAGACUUAUUCUUUGGGGCUGGGUUAUUGUUUCAUCCCUUGUAGGUAGUCGGAUAGUAGUAGCUUAUCUCAAUGGAUAGUCCAGCGUCUUAUCUAGACCGCAGGCAGCCUUAGCUAGAUCCACUGUAACAUUGGGUGCAAGUCCUGCCUUGAACGAAGAGGAACAGAGACUCCUUUGGAUGGGGGACGUUCGGAUCUUGGCCUUUCCUAUCUGCUAACAACCUCCUUUCUAGGUUUGAAACCACUCGUUGUGCGGCUCUAGGCAUCCUGAGCUGACAGCACUUCGAAAGGCCUCGCUUAAUUAAUGGGCUUCUCAUCGUACUUACUUCUUUGUUAUGUUAAGGUGAUUGUUAUUUGUUGGAUGGGUAUGGCUUAUUCUUAGAGGAUAACUUAAUGCAUUUGUCAUGAGUAGCACGCGCCCGCCCUAUACUAAGAUUAGGUACGCAAGACAGACAUCGUCAGCCUAGCCCUGAUGCAUUGGUUUUCUCAAGCUGUCUCAUUCAUUCCAUUUAUUCAGCUGCUUUUAUCUCAUUCGUGGCUUGGUUUUUGUGGACAGGAAGGGAAAGUGCCAGCUGACAUCCGGAGCUCUACAACUACCUGUGUUGCCUUUUCAGUAUGGUUCUGGAUACUAGCAUUCUGUUGAGCGAGAUUGUGAUUGUCUUCCCUAAAGUCACUCCCCUUAGAGUCGAAUGGUCUCGAAAUAGGCUUCAAGAAUAAGCUCCAUUUAGUAGGUAUAUUAUCCAUGGAUAGAUCUUACUGGUAAGCUCAGUCAUUGGCUUUCACUGGGCGUUUGUUAUAUGCCAACGGAUGUCGCCAACAACCCGGGCUUUGCCCACUUUCGUAAGGCUUAUUACCUUUGUUACUUUCAUCGGUACAUAUAAUAAAUAGAAUAUAGUCUCUUUGGGCUAUGCAUUCUGUAGGGUAUUGGCGUUGUGGUACACUAGUCCUGUCGUACGCCUAAUUCGUUUAGUGGGGAGACCUAUAGAGUAAGGUAAGGCGCGGUCAGCCAGCUCUUCCGGUUGCAAAGCCUGUAGAGUGUCCCUGAACGGAAGGAAGGAAAGAGACAGAGAACUCUAUCCUAGCUACCUGGGUACGGGGUGGAGUAAGACUAUUCUCAUAAUAAGCCCGGCCAAGCUACUGAAACUAUGACUGCUGAUUCUGUUGAUGACUUUGGCACUGAUCUAGCUCCUUCUUCUUUACCUACUCUGGAUAUAUCUUAUGCUUCUUCUUGAUACAAUAACAGUACUAGCACAGCAUCUGAUCUCGUCGACAAGGAGGCGGGACAAUCUGUAUACCUUGAAUAUGGUGCUCAACUCGAGAAAAGGUGCAUUAAGGUAAAGGAAGCAGCCAACCCGGAUUUCACUGUCAACUCUCAACUCCUUACACGCAGAAUGGAAUUGGACUUUUGAACUAGGAAUGUGAUCAAGCAGCUCAUUGACGAUUAGCACAACGUCUUGCCCGAACUACACUACUUUGAACUAGAGCGAGACAAGAAGAAUAGGCCGAAUCACUACAAGCUAGGGAAAGCCUUAUUUGGAUUAUUAUUCGAAAGCGGAAGCGCCAUUAUCGGUAAAGCAAGCUGUAAACCUUUAUUUCUCUAAGUAAGACCUCUGCACGCGGGCUGUAAACCAUGAACCCUUACUUGACUUUAGCCCGAGAUACUUUGAUUCUUCUGUAGCUUAGAUCCUGUUUCUUAUCCUACUGCUCGAACUUUGUCUUUUGUUACUGCUGAUUCUGGAACCGCAGCUGCUUCAAAUCCAGAUCCUGCUCCACCAGAUUGAGAGGCGGGCUCAACUAAUACAACAUUUUCUCUGGAGAGUGCAUGUAUAUAAAAGAGUCAUAUUACCCACCUAUAUCUAUACUCAACGAACGAUACCACAUUCCUUCCCUUCUGCUAAAACAUCUUCUGCCCCUUCCUAUCUCCUUUACCGUAGAAGUAGCUUGUCCGUUGUUGGUUCAGAAAGCAAUGUAAGCAAUAAUAAGUAGAAGCUCUUUGUAAGUAAUGAGUUGGGGGAUGCCAGAAUUCCCAUCUUAAUGCAGCGGGCAAAUCGACAAGCGAAUAAGAAAGAAAGUCAAGGGCUUACAGUAGCUGAGUUCCAGAAGCCGAAUCUAAUGCUUACUUACAGAGCAGUAAAGUCUCCACUCCUGGCAAAAUACGGACUUGCUCAUAACUCUAGAACAGUUUCAUCUCCAGUUUCGUCAACAAGUAUAGUGGAAACUUACCUUCCCGCCCCGUACGCCACUGUUAUUUGACCUGUUCCGAGAGACUUUCCAGUGCGAGGAGUGUGUCUAGAUCGGACCCGCACAUGCAUGGUUGGUGAAGAGCACAGCACUCGGUUAGUUAGUUAGUUAAGUUACCUGCGGAAAUUAUACCUAGCGCAUGAUUCAUACCUAGCUCAGGCUUCUGUUUCUUACCUUGGAUCAAUAGUAAUAGGUGGAUCUGCUUUAACAGCUUGGAUCUGGAUCUGUAGAAUCUGUCUUUGUUGGCGACUCUCUAAUUUCAUUAUGACUUUCCUACUUGAGAGCACGAGCACUCCUUCCUUUAAGAAUAGAGUUUACUGGUAAAGAAAUAAAGUCAAGCAAGUAAGAAUCUAAGAAUGCUGUUUCAGAGUUCAAGUGUGUUUUCACCUCCUGGUAGUAAAGAUGAACUCCAGGUAUGCCUGCUUGGCUUGGCCCCUACGAAAAGAUGUCAUUUACAAGUCCUGUGCACCUGCAUUUGAUUCCCGAGUUCACCUGUUUUAGAGUUCAAGAAGAAUAAGAAGAUUGAUAUGAAGCAAUAGUAGGGCCUAGCAUCCACUAGGAAUCCUAUCUCCUAUAUAAAGAUAAGAUAAAGAAUUCAUUUAAUGUAAUUGCAGAAUGAAGAGCAACCAAGCAACAGUAGCAAGAAGUAGAGGAAUGAAACCAUCCAGUAAGAAUGAAAGUGAGCCAGAUAAUCCUCAUUUGGGUUUACUUGUAUAGAAGGGCGCCUCUUCGGUGCAGAAUAACUGGUUCGAGUGUUGAAUCGAGAUCGGAAGCGGUCUUUAGAAGGAUAAGAAGCCCUUAAUUAGGAUUCCGGGCCAAGCUUAGUAGUUAGUUGUGCUAAGGAGCCCCACUGUUCUUUAAGUAAUAGGACCAUAAUAAAUAACUUGCUAGCGCAUCUAGUAGAAGACUCAGAAAUGAACUCACUCGUCUUAUAGCUCGGCAGUUCUCUAGUCUAGGCGCCAUAAACUGACUAUAAGGGCCUCGCCACUGAUUUCAUUGGGUGCGAAGGAAGGCUAGACAGUUCCAUUUCUAUUUAUUUCUCAUAGCAAGCUUAGGCCAAUAGGCAAGCAACCACUAAGUAGUACUCUCAAUCUGGUGUUAAAGCCUUUCAUCCGAGUCUCCCAGAGAAGUAUCCGGGUGCAUAGUUGACUUUCCAAUUCAUUAAGGUCACUGCCGCGUAACCAGUAAUUAAGGGCACCGAAUACAAGUGAGAAGUUCGGUAGUUAUAUAUAAUUAAGAAAAGUGAGAAGUUUGGGAUCUAUAUCAAUAGCUACAGGGUGAGAGCAAAGGUAGUGAAAGAAUCACAAAGGCAAGAUACGGUCUUCAAACCAAUAAGUAAGGCCCCGGAUCAGUGUUUAGAGAAUAAGAGGCGAAUCGGAGACAGGAGAGAUCGUUUUCAAAUAAGUAUACGCUUGGUGGCAUACGAGAAUGGACUUACCCCCUAUUGGAUCGAACUACCAAUUCGGUAUAAGAGAAUUGCACCGAUGCUAACAAGGCUUUCACUUAUAAGGUAUUGCAUAUUUCCCCCAAGUAACCAGAAUCAACCCAAAACAGAUGAGACUUUCUCUAAGAAAUAAGGCUUUCACUCCUUCAGCGCCAACCCUCCCCGAGUUCUUUCUUUCUUUGCCAACCAAAACUAUAUCCUUUGAUUUCUUUGCCCAACAACCUAGUAUGCGCUCCCCCUCUCGCAAACCCAUAUAGUAGUGCUAGUGUUGUGUCUCUCAGUGUAUAAGAAUUGAAGACAGAAGUCAGAAUGAAACGAAAAAGUAGAAAACUACGAAUUCCGCUACAAAGUAAGUAUGCAUCGGUACCCUCUCUAGCUUUUCAUCUAAAGUCAGAAAAAAAGACCCACCAGCAAUAUAUCCUGGCUAUCGGCCUUACCUUCCUUUAUCUCUUUCUGGAGCUACUGAGUGAGUUGACUUAUUUAUUCUUCUUGCGUAUUCCGUUAACUUAGUUUAAUACAAUAAUUCAUUAACUUAUAUUAGCUAUUAGCAUGUGUUUUAUUGUUUUCAUAUGAUAUAUACAUGUGUUUUCUUGUUUUAGUGCAAGGAACCAGCAAUCGAUUCUUCAAGAUAUAAGCCAUGCGAAAGGCUGCAGAGCUUUACUCUUCCUUAAGAGUCUGAAGUGGGCUGGGUGUUUACUCAAUGUUAUAAGCGGGAAAGAAAGAAACCCAUAUUUCGUAAAGUUGAAGCUCUGUUAACGACUCUUAUGGUUACCUACACCGAGCGCUUAACUCCUUGUUCUCUGGUUGCGAUAUUCGAUUUGAAGUAAAGAUCCGGAUCUUGGAAAGUCAUCCGAUCCCCCUUUCCUUAUAAACUAAAGAAGAAAACCGGAACUACUAUAUCUUAUCUACGGAAGAGAGAAAACCAGCUUCCAAUUGAAUUCUAAUAGGAUUUCACAAGGGAUAUGGAAAGUAUAUACCUAGUGUUCGCCUCCUCUGGCUAAUUCUUCUGUUUCUUCCGAUCCGAUCCUUUACUUCUUGAUCCGAUCCUGUACUUCUUUACUUAUAGCUUAGCAACCUCUCCUCAAGCUACUACUACUGGGCUGGGCUCGCUGACCAAAGAAUGCAACUAUCAACUCUAAACUCAACUUUCCACUAAACCUCUAUCCUCUACCUAAGUCAACUAAUUCUUCUUUCUGAACUUUAAGUAGAGCUCGGGGCGGAGGAAGAGACAAGAAACUAUGCCAUGUUUUAUAGGCUUUCAAUGCAUUCUUUCUCAUCGCAACCCAAGAUGUUUUUCAUUGGAUUUCCCAUAAUACUAAAUAAGUGCUGUGAUAGUGCAUUUCUUCUUAAUCAAAUAGACCCUUCUUUGCCCUUUAAUCAUGUCAUACGCCUAAGAGAGCUUCUAAUUCAUUUAAAGCCUAGUUGAGCUCCCCCAAACAGGACUUAGUAAUGACUUGUAAUAUCUUAGUUUUGACUCAAUGAAAUAUUUUGGAUAGCUAUAUUCUCUUUUGAAAGCAACGGAACAAAUAAACAAUGCCGCAAGAAACCCAUGACCAUAAAACGACUUAUAACUGUGGUCCACAGAAUGGUGUCCACUUGGUUCUGUUGUACUUACAAUAGUUUUUGAGUUAGAGUUAGGUUACCACGGAGUGGGUCAGUUCUUAUUUGGAUUCUUACAUGAUUUAUAUGAUUACACUAGAGAACAGUUCCACUAUUCCGAGCCUACUUACUAUGUCAAAGAGCACUACUAGGCUAGAUCCACCUUCUUUCUAUACUGAACGACGCUUCCAUUGGAGAUGAACUACAGCACCGAUAACGCUUAUUGAACAAGCAAGCGCACCUUACCGGACUCUUUUCUUCAAAAAGCAGGGAGUUAGUUUAUUACCGGACUCUUUUCUGAAAGCAACAUAAAAUGCAGUUAGGUAUCAACGGCGCAAGUCCUGUUUACUGCGUUAGUGAGCUGGUUGAUGCUAGUUAGCGAGUUGAUCAAAGUGCUAUAGGAGUUCUACUGGGGUCUCAAGUUAGGUAGAAAGUCAAGUGGAGUAGCCUGUUGCUCAAGAAAAGAAGUCGAAAGUCGAAGAUAUUGUUAUUGCGCUUGAAGGAAAGUAGAAAGUAGCAAGUAACGUUGAAAGAAAGGAGUUGAGCUCGCCAAAGCCUAAGUGCCUUAGUGCAUUAGUCAAUUCAAGCUUUCACCGACGCUUAGUUCUUAAAGGAAAUAAUGCUCUUUAUUAGUUUUUCAUUACUUAUAUAUGGUGGGCGAUAUUCUCUUCUUAUAGCCAUGAUAGCGAAAUUCUUUUCAACAAGCAGUUUUGUGCGCGUUAGCCCACUUUCAGAGGAGCUCCGUUAGCGACUAUCGUUUGUUUGGAGUUAUCGACUAUAGAGCCUUUGUGAGCUUUGGAAGAAAGGAGGCAAUGCUGCUGUUUGUUUAGAUUAGAGUGACAGUGCCUCUUUCUAGUGUUGGAUGAUGAAGCUUACUAGAAAUAUGAUUGGAUUUAAGCAACAGGUAGAUCGCCCUUUAAGCAACAGGUAGAUAAAAAGCUCUUGUGCGUGCGGAAACGAGUUGAGUUUCGAAAGCUCUUGUCUUGCGCACCGGGCGUUGAACCGCUCGUGAGCAACAGUAGGACUCGACUGACUUGCGUCUAGGAAAGGAUGGAGGGUUGGUGCUCUAGCUCUAGGUCGGGCAUAUUUAUGAAGUG
rnacentral:lncRNA from 1 species